rnacentral:lncRNA from 1 species
ACCACACAAAUUACUCAUUCAUAUUCUCCAUUUUCAAAGUCUUUUUUCAUCCAUAUUCUUUCAAUUCUCAUGGCUAUGCAAUCACCUUCCAGAGUGUUCCUCAAUUUCAGGGGCAGUGACACUCGCAACAAUUUUACCGGUAAUCUCUAUAAGGCUCUUGUUGACAAGGGAAUUAAUACUUUCAUUGAUGAAAAUGAUCUUCAAAGAGGAGAUGAAAUCACAUCAUCACUUGUCAAGGCCAUCGAAGAAUCUGGGAUUUUUAUUCCCAUAUUUUCUGCCAACUAUGCAUCUUCUUCAUUUUGUUUGGACGAACUUGUCCACAUCAUUCACUGCUACAACACAAAGAGUUGCUUAGUAUUGCCCGUUUUCUAUGAUGUGGAACCUACUCACAUACGACAUCAGAGUGGGAGUUAUGGUGAGCAUCUUACUAAGCAUAAAGAGGGGUUCCAAAAUAACGAGAAAAACAUGGAGCGAUUGCGUCAAUGGAAGAUGGCUCUUACUCAAGCUGCUAACUUGUCCGGCUAUCAUUAUAGUCCUCAUGAGUACCCUACUUUACUUAAAUCUUGUUUUUUAUAUUUUAUUUCUUUAAUUUUUAUGCCUAAAUAAUCUACUCUUAAAGCUUAAACAUGGAGGGAUUUCUAUCAAUGGUUUUAAAACUAGUGUAAGUUAUUUAUAUGUCAAAAAAGUUAGAAUUGCAUAAUAUAUUAUCAAUACAUGGAUGUGAUUUUGAUUCUAGUGUAUGUUCUAACUUACCUUAUUGGACAUGAAUAGAUCUGAAUGCAAGUUUAUUGAGAAGAUAGUCGAAGGCAUCUCCAACAAGAUCAAUCAUGUUUUUUUAAACGUAGCCAAAUACCCUGUUGGAUUGCAGUCCCGAAUAGAACAAGUGAAAUUGCUUCUUGACAUGGGCUCUGAGAAUGAGGUCCGCAUGGUAGGAAUUUUUGGUACCGGAGGCAUGGGUAAAUCAACACUUGCAAAAGCAGUUUUUAAUUCUAUUGCUGAUCAAUUUGAAGGUGUAUGUUUUCUUCAUAAUGUCAGAGAGAAUUCAACUCUUAAGAACUUGAAACAUCUCCAGAAGAAGCUCCUUUCAAAAAUAGUUAAAUUUGACGGUCAGAUAGAAGAUGUUAGUGAGGGAAUACCAAUUAUAAAGGAAAGACUAUCUAGAAAGAAGAUUCUUUUGAUUCUUGACGAUGUUGACAAACUGGAGCAGCUAGACGCUUUGGCUGGAGGACUUGAUUGGUUCGGUCUUGGAAGCAGAGUCAUCAUUACCACUCGUGAUAAACGCUUACUAGCCUAUCAUGUGAAUACAAGUACACAUGCAGUAGAAGGGUUGAAUGAGACAGAAGCUCUUGAAUUAUUGAGCCGAAAUGCUUUUAAAAAUGACAAAGUUCCUUCAAGUUAUGAAGAUAUUUUAAACCGUGUAGUUACUUAUGCAUCUGGCCUUCCGUUAGCUAUAGUAACAAUAGGGGCCAAUUUGAUUGGAAGGAAGGUAGAAGAUUGGGAGCGUAUAUUAGACGAGUAUGAAAAUAUUCCCGAUAAAGAUAUCCAAAGGAUACUUCAAGUAAGCUAUGAUGCUUUGAAGGAAAAGGAUCAGAGUGUCUUUCUAGACAUUGCUUGUUGCUUCAAAGGGUGUAAAUGGACAAAGGUUAAAAAAAUACUUCAUGCUCAUUAUGGCCAUCCCAUAGAACAUCAUGUUGGAGUGUUGGCUGAAAAAUCUCUCAUAGGCCAUUGGGAAUAUGACACUCAUGUGACCUUACAUGACUUGAUAGAGGACAUGGGUAAAGAAGUCGUCCGACAAGAAUCUCCCAAGAAGCCUGGAGAACGCAGUAGGUUGUGGUUUCGCGAUGAUAUAGUUAACGUUUUAAGAGAUAAUACGGUAAAGAAAACUAAUAUUUAUGAACAAUUUGUUGUUUUAGCUUUAGCCAUGACCUUGAUCAUCCUGCCACCUCAUACUAGUGUUUUUUAUUCACUUAAUUACAUGUAUAUUACUCUAUAAUAUUUGUAUUAUGAUUUAUUCUUUUUUUAUUUUGUUAAAAGGGAACUGGGAAUAUUGAAAUGAUAUAUCUCAAAUAUGCCUUCACGGCAAGAGAAACAGAGUGGGAUGGAAUGGCUUGCGAGAAGAUGACAAAUCUCAAAACACUUAUCAUUAAAGAUGGUAACUUUUCAAGGGGUCCUGGGUAUCUUCCAAGUAGUUUGAGAUAUUGGAAAUGGAUAAGUAGUCCUUUGAAGUCUCUAUCUUGUAUUUCGAGCAAGGCAAGUGAAAUAGGUUCAUUUUUCAAUUGUGUAUAUUGAUAAUUCACUAUUAGAUUAUAAUUUUCAUUUCAACUUAUUUAAUUUGUUUUUUUAUGAAGGAGUUCAACUAUAUGAAAGUUAUGACAUUGGACGGUUCUCAAUAUUUAACCCAUAUACCCGAUGUCUCAGGUCUUCCAAAUCUAGAAAAGUGCUCCUUUCGAGGAUGUGAUAGUUUAAUUAAAAUUCACAGUUCGAUUGGACAUCUAAAUAAACUUGAAAUCUUAGAUACAUUUGGUUGCAGCGAACUUGAGCAUUUCCCACCCUUACAGCUGCCCUCUCUUAAGAAAUUUGAAAUCACUGAUUGUGUGAGUCUCAAGAAUUUUCCAGAAUUAUUAUGUGAGAUGACAAAUAUAAAAGAUAUUGAGAUAUAUGAUACUUCCAUAGAAGAAUUGCCAUAUUCAUUUCAAAAUUUCAGUAAACUUCAACGGUUAACAAUAUCUGGAGGCAACCUACAGGGAAAGCUCAGGUUCCCAAAAUAUAAUGAUAAAAUGAAUUCAAUAGUGAUUUCAAAUGUGGAACAUCUUAACCUCGCAGGCAACAGCCUCUCAGAUGAAUGUCUCCCAAUACUUCUCAAGUGGUUUGUUAAUGUGACAUUUCUAGAUUUAUCCUGUAACUACAAUUUCACAAUUCUUCCCGAGUGCCUUGGUGAAUGUCACUGUCUUAUGCAUCUUAAUUUGAUGUUUUGCUUGGCUCUUGUGGAAAUUAGAGGGAUUCCACCAAAUCUUGAAAUUCUUUUUGCAGUCAUUUGUUAUUCAUUGAGUUCCUCAAGUAUAAGAAUGUUAAUGAGUCAGGUUUGUUGUUUUUUUAUUGCACUAGUAUUUGACAUAUAGUAUUUCAGUUCAUAGUGUAAUUAUUAUUCUUUUUAUAUAAAUUAACAGAAACUACAUGAGUCUGGAUGCACCCAUAUUCUAUUCCCAAACACAACGGAUAGGAUUCCUGAUUGGUUUGAGCACCAAAGCAGGGGAGACACAAUUUCUUUCUGGUUUGAUAAAGAACUCCCUUCUAUUAGCUUUACUUUUAUUCUUAUUAGUCAGGGGGACUACAUGUUACCAAUAGUCAAAUUCUUUGUGAAUGGCUAUGAAAAAGAGAUAAGUUGCGACGAAUUGACUAGGGAAUUCGGUGAGCUAGUGGAUGAUGACACUGUGUUGGAGAACCAUACAACUUUGUUGCAUAUAAAAUUGGAACAAGAUAAUGAACUCGGUGAAAGACUUUUGAAAAAUGAAUGGAUCCAUGUGGAGUUUAAGUUACAGGAUUAUUAUUGGCACGCUGAGAGAAGAUUAUUCAGAAAUACGCAAAUGGGAAUCCACGUGUGGAAGGAGAAAAGCAACAUGGAGGGGGGUGUGAGAUUCAUUGAUCCUUCAUUAUCACAAUUUAUGCAAAGAUUGGUGGAAGUGGGAGUUUCAGAGAAAGGGGAGGAGGAGGAGGGUUUUAGUGACACGGAGGAGGAUGUAAUAUUGAAGAAUCCUAAUAAUAGAAAGACUUGGGGUACAUUCCUUAGUCUAGGUGCAUCAAAAAGCAACACGGAUGGGGAUGAGAUUGAAAUAUUAAGCAGUGCACAAGAUGAAAGAAAGAUGUGGGGUACAUUCCUCGGUUUAGGUCCAUCAUAAAGUUAACCGUCUUCUUGUUAUUCUCUCAAUCUCAACAUUGCAGGUUUGUGCUUUGAUGUUUAUACUUUGUAUAAAUGUUGAUUAAUUUCUGUAUGUAGUCAGUUACAAAUUCAAUGUUUCUAGUUGGAGAAGUUUCUUAAACCAUGAGACAUGAUGUAAGUUUCUGUGUGUCUAACACCGAUACAUGUAAUACUAUUAAACUAUAUUAUUAUCUCAAAGGACUACCAAUGUCAACGAAUCAGUGUCGGUGUCUAGUUCGGUAUCCAUGACUGUGCUGAUGCUUCAAAAUGUCGAAAUGAAAGUUCUGAGUUUGCAAGUGCUUAAAGGUCAACAAGUAGAUUGUCUUACCGUAACUAUACACAUUUCGUAAACUUGUAUUGAUCUCAUUAAUUAUGAUUCAAAUUAGAACUUUUAUCUCAUAUCUCAUCUAACUAAUGGCACAUGUUUUCAGUGUAACCUAUAAAUGUAUGGAUAAUUUAAGUAGUACAUGCAUUUUUAACUUUUUUGAUGAAAUUUAACGUGACUGCAAUUGAAACAUGAUACACAAUUGAUCAAAAUUCCACUAGCUUAUAAGCCCGCACGAGUUUUACAAUGAGCUAAAUGGUUUGUCGAAUAAUCAAUAUCGAUCUUAUCUGUUGCAGCAUAACUCUAUUGUGUUACCCAUCACAUCUAUUUGAAUGCUUGUUACCUUCAGAGAGGAGAAGCCAUAGCUAUCAAAUUGAAUUUUUAUUUAGCUAUUACAUAAGGAUGAUUCAGAGGCAUCAGAAUCCAUCUCUCGCGGCCUUCAGCUACAACCCUUUAGUCCAGAAAUUUUAGAAGGUGUGGUGUAAUUGAACGGAUCCAAGAUUAAUGUUGUUACAAGUAUGAUUCUUAUAUUUUUAAAGAAUAAAUGCUUUUAAUCAUAAUCUGAAAAAGAAAUUGAUUAUUAUGCCAAAGUAAUAUAUUUCUACAUUUGUCAGGAAACCAUUUGCAACUGCCUUUCUUUUUGCAUUGUCAUACGAGAUGUCUAGAGGUGGUGGUUCACACCACAAAAUUCGUUCAAAAGGGAAUCAGGUAAUCAUAUGCUUUGCAGCUCAGUUGUACUUUGGUGUUUCCACAUUGGGUAUGAAUUGAUCAUUUCACAUAAUCCUUCUACAGCUCGACAUAUUUCAUUUCGUUCUAACCAUGCCUUCCGCUGGUGAGGACUUAUGUUUAGAUUAUUUCUGUAAUGAUCAUGAAAUGUCCCUUCUCCCCAAAAAUGCGGCAAAAACAGUCGCUAUUUUGUGUUCUGACAUAGAUAUUUGGUAGAACUAAAGAUGGAACGGGAAGACUUGUUCUAUACUAAAAAAUUUAUAAUGAAAUGUGUCUACUGUUUAUUUUCUAGCUAUGUUCUAAGUUGUUGUUGAUUUAUUUAUGUAAAUGUGCAUACCAGGUCGAAACGACUAUGAAGUGCUGAGUUUCUCAAACUAAACUCUCCUUACUGGGGAAGGAGCUUUCAGGUCUGCAAGAAAUUAUGUGGGAUAAAGAAAUAAAUCCGAGAACCGACAUUCAUGAGAUCCUUUUGCAAGAGUCGUGACUUUUGUUCUCCAAAAUCCAAAUCAGCGUUCUUGGUGUAGUACUCAAUGUACAACUCUGGUUUUGAUAUGGUGAGACCUGAUGUAAUUUUUUAUGGAGGAUGUUUGUGCUGCAUAUAUUGUUUGAAUUCGAUUAUUUCAUUACUGUACAUUUAGAUGCAUGCAUUAGAUUAUAGAAUGAACACCAUUUUAGAAGUACAUGUAAAUUAUGGAGGCCAACCUUGGAUAAUGUAUAUUUGAAUGUUUUAUCUAAAUGUGUUCUGAAAAAGCCAAUAUCAGGAACUUUGAUCUUGCUAACUUUUGUUGUUCAAUGAUUGUUAUUGCACCAAUAUUUCUUAUGCUAAACUGACAGAAACUAUAUUUCUUAUGCUAACUUACAUGAGGAUAGAUGCACCAAUAUUUGUUUUCCAACAGGAACAGAGGGGAUUCCAGAUUGGUUAAAGCACCAAAUCACGGGACACAAUUUUUUUCUGGUUUCGUAAAUAAAUCCCUUCUAUAACUAGUAUUAUUAUUCCCUUUCUGGAUCCGUCCGAUUCAAAUGAGAAAGUAGUCAAUUUGUCUGUCAAAGGCUAUGAAAAAGUAGUCUGGAUUAAAUGAUGUGAUCUGAAGCUGUCACUAGCAGAGUGCAGUAACAGUAAACUAUGGCCAACACUGCAGAGUGCAGUGUGGCAUGACUAGAAGAGAGAGGAGUCAAGGAAAAGUUAUUUCUGUUAUUCACUCGGAACCAUUAGUACUUUCAAAAUUCUACAGAUCUAAAAUAUAAGCCAGACCAUAUGCAUUAUACAGAAUAGAACUCUCAUUUUAUCGGAUGAAAUUUUUCGGUAUCCACAUAUGAUGCAUGUCCUGAGCAAACCUGCAUUCUUUUUUUUUUUUAAUGCAAAAUAAUCACUAACAUAUCCACUUGUUGAUUUGUUGCAAAUAGCUUAAAGUGGUUCUGUAAUAAAGUGAUUUAUCGUCACAUAAACAAGUGACUUAGAAGUGUUUCCUUUGAAUACUCGUGCUGCUGCAUAAUGAUUCUAAUUUUACCAAGCUUAAGUGUUUUAGACCUGAGUUGCACACACACAACAAGCACAAGCAAGUCACUUUAUUUCUGUGUAACGAGUAACUAAGCAGGUCAUGAAGUUGUUACGAGGAACACAACUUAGAUUUUAGAUCUUGAAUACUUGUAAGAGGCAUGAUUCUAUUUGCUGCACAGUUGCUGAUUGUGUAGUUUUAGAUGUGGAUUUUAUCUUGAAUUUUGGUUUAAAGUGUUUAUAGAAUAUUACAAAUACAAACUUCAUAGCCACUGUAUCAAUAAUUAGUAAUCUUUUUGGUGGGAGUGAUCUGGUAAAUUUUGAUACAACAACUUUGAUAGCCUUUGUAUCAGUAAUUAGUAACGAUGUAACAGAGAAAUUUUUGGCUAUUCUCGAAAUGAGCAGAGACAGCAAUCUAAGGGAAACUUUGACUUUGUGAUCGCUUAAGUGAGUUAUCAUUUUUUUUCUUUGCCACCUGCUAUGUGUUUUUUGAACUUUUGCAUAUUCUUGUCCUUCCUAUGAAUCAACUUUAAUAACCUAAAGUUAUAUGGUGUUUUAGUUAACUAUGAAAAUUGAAUAUUUGCAUUGUAUGUAGUGUUUAUAAUCUAUUCUGGUUUUUAUCUGAGUCAAAUGAAUUGACAAAAGCUUUCCUCAAUUUUUUUCGCUAGAUCAGGCCUGAACUUCAAUAUCCAAUCCAUCUGGAAUUUGGUAGAGUCCUAUGUGGGAAGAAUGGCAUAAUUAUCUUUCAGAAUGUAAGCUGGUACUGAUGCUUGGAUCGAUGUCCCUCUCUACUACUGAACAUAGACCAAGGGCCUUAACUGGCAAUUAGUUACACACAUUCAUGGAAACAAGGGUUGAAGCAUUCGCUCGCAAGCAACUCAGGUAAUAGAAUUUAAUUUUUAAUUAAAUGGGUUUGCCAUGAUCAUUCAUCAAAAUUCAAUUGCAUAAAGAUAUAAGCAAAUAUAUUCAAUUGCAUAAUUCUUUUACACAUUAUAAAAGAAGACAAACUAUGCAGUGGGGUCACUAUCACCGUAGUUUUUGGUUGAAGUCAUAUGUUGUUUACUUGUUGGUUUUUCAAGUUCUGACAUGAUAUUAUUUUUCUUCCCAUUUCCAGCUGAACUACUUUACGUGCUUCAAUUUUUUUCAAUCACUGCUAAAUUUUAGUGGAUAAGAAACAAAUGAAUCUAAAAAAUUUACGAUCAACCAAAUUCUGUUUGGAGGUGAAUGUUUCUUCAUAAUCUAACUUUGUAAAUGAAUUUUAAGUGAUUUGAAAACAUGGAAUAAGGUCUUCAAUAAAUAAAUAUGUAUCAGGUGCUUUUGGUUCAGUUUUAGACUUUUAGAUGGUAGGGAUCGUGCUUUUGGUUUGAUUUACAAUUAUUGUUUCUUGUACUGCUAUUGUGUAGGUCAGUGUUUUGUACUUUUUUUUUUGUUCCUUAUCUAAGUUUCUAUGGUCGGUCUUUUCGACUAUAAUGGAAUAAUACAUGUUAUGCUACUGCAAUGUAGUUAUUGCUUCUAGCAUGGCAUUUACUAGGCUGAUUUGGUCUUUUCGAACUCAUCCAAGGACUGCAGGAUUUGGAGGACUUGAUCGGAAUUAUGACAAAGCUUUUCAAUUUGGAUUUUAUGGAAGUAUAGGUUGGUCAAAUAUCCUUCAUGCAGAAAUUCAGGAUCUCCUUGUUGGUCUCAAGUUGUGGUGGAAAGCCCGGAAGUUUAUAUGCUAUUAUGAUUCUCUUCACGUGGUGCAGUUAGGUUCAAUGAACACUCAUCACUUUCACCAUUAUGCCAAUAUGUUGGAGAUUUAUCAGAGCUUACAUGAAGAAAGAUUGGAAUUUUUCUCUCCAUCAGACUUUUCCCGAGGGCAAUGCUUGAGCAGAUAUUCUAGCGAAAUUGGGAGUUAGUUGUAUAGAUACCUUGGUUACGGUCUACAUGCUGCCGCAGUUCUUCUCCUCGGCUUUGUUAGUUAAAAUUGUUGGAAUGUCCUUUAUUAGGACUUAGUAACCAAAAAGAAAAGGUUGAUGGAAAAACUUAAAUGGAUUUGUUGAAACCACCACAACCCUUUAUGUUGAUACCUUGCAUUCUCAUGUUACUAUGCCUCCAUUCCCCGAGUAAUACAGUGACUUCAAUCAAAUCCCAUAUAUAUAUUUUAAUCUUAUGGUCUCCUUUUUAAUAUGAUUGUCAAAUAAGAGGUUAAUGCAGAAAGUGAAUAUAGUUAGUUUGUGGUUCUAAUUGUGUUUUACCUCUUUAUAUCAAAUUGGUGCAAUUUUUACUUUCUAUGCUUUGGUUAGAUGUUAAUUAAUAUAUUUAUUUUGCCUCUUCAAAACAAACAAAAUCUAGAAAAGAGAAUUGUAAUGAAACAUUUUACCUCUAAGCAUUAUGUCCAAAAAGUGUUACAAACUUGAAUCAAAAAAGAAAAUAUUUUACAAUCAAACUACAAUUCAUUAUGUAUCAAUUUUACAAACCAAGUAAUGAGAUGGAGGGAGAGGAGAGUCCCUGCAACCAUAGGCGACCACAUCAGUGUCAUCAUCCACUACUGUCGGUGCUUGAGUUCCACUGUGUCUCCAUCAUAUUUGUGAGAGUUAACUUAAAAUCAGAAUUCUGGAGAAUCGUGCCACGAUGGAGAAGCUUCGUGCCACGAUUGUUGAAGCAAAAUUCUGGAGCAAUCACUGGAAAAAUCGUGCCACGAUUGAAUCGCAUCGUGGCACGAUGGUGCGAUUGAAGAUAAAAAUAAAACGUAUUUUUAUUGAAGAUUUGUUUCAGUUUUUUAAGGGAUUACUUUCACUAUAAAUAUAGACCUUGUAUCACAGUAUUUCUUGGAGAGAGAUAGAGGGGGCUGAAACAAGGGUUUAGAAUGGCAACAACAAAACUAGAGUUUGUAUAGAGUUUGUCUCUUUGGAAACACUAGGGUUUGAGGGUUGAUUCACCUUGGGAAACACUAUUAGGAUUGAGUCUCUUGGUUACGGGAAGAGGCUGGGACUUUGGGUAGAAUUAGGCGGGAGACUUAUUCUUGUAACCCAUUGACUUCUCUUUGUAACGUUACUCGUUAUAUAGUGGAUCGGAGGGCUGCUCUCUCCCCAGACUAGGUCAAUUUGGACCGAACUGGGUCAACAAAUUAUUUUGUGUUCUCUAUUCUUUUGUUCUUCUUGCUGUUGUUUUCUACUUUUGGCAUGUGAUUAUAACUGUUCCAUACGCUUUGAUUUUGGUUGCUUGACUAUCCCUUGCUCCACACAUCAAGUUGUUAUUGGUGUGAUUUUUCUCAUCGAAUUCACAACAAUAUUGUGUCGUUCAGUCAUCGCCGAUGUAAGAGAAACCAGGUGGUCGUUUUGUCGCCGGUAGUCCGCUGCUGCUAUUUUUCCCUCUCCUGAUUUCUCCCUUCCCCUCUCAUGUCUCACAUAUAAUCUUCCUCCAUCUCUUUUUCUGUCUGAUUGUUCGCAUAACAAUGCAACAAAACAUGAGAGUUGGCAAGAGUAUAAUCCAUGCAGCCAGAAUGAGAACAAUGCUGCUAUAACAUGUUAAAGUUACCAAACAUGUCAUAAGAAUUGGAACCAAUAAAUGUCAUGCUUAAUAUCAUUGAUAGCAGUGUGUUUUACAUCAACAAAAAAAAAAAAAAUGAACUCUCACAUAGAAGGCUGUGUGAUAUUGUGAAGUCCACUUGUAUGUAACUUGUCAUUGCUCAAUGAACAGAGCUUUGAGCGAUAAUUGUGUAGUACACAUUGUCACAAGCAUUACUUGGAACAAUUAGGAUCAUAUAUGUUGGAUCUAUAAUACAGAAAAAAGAAGGCAACUUUCUGAGAGUGUGUGUGCACGUGCGCACUUGUCGUGGAAGAUCAAAUUGAUAAUUAUAAGCGGCAGAAAUAUCUUCAUAAACAUUUAUCAGAUAAGAGAAAAUUGGGAAGGAACAAACACAUCAUAUUCGGUAAUGGCUACUUUUGAGCACUUGUACGAAAUUCAAAAUAACUAUCCGACAUUCAUAAGUGAUGUUACAUUGAACUUAAGCUACUUAUGAAAUGGCAUUCUCAAGACCUAAGGGAUGGCAAUGCAUCUUUGAACUUUUUCAGAAGGAGAAAACAAUUGGAAACAUUUUAAAAUCAAGCAAAACAGAAAACCAACAUUCUGUCACAAUCCUAGACAAUUUUAUCAUAAAAGACAAGUAGUGCUAGUGAUGCAGGCGAUAGUAUUUCAUCCGGUAAUCAUAGGAUAAAUGAGCAUUUCUGUAACACUCAGACGGAACAAAGAAAUCAAGAAGAUGAUGCAGUCGAAGAUCAUACUGAAGAGCACAAAGCAUAUACAACAAAUAGAACAAAAAAACACAGUCAAUAAAGAUUUGGUAUCAGCUGAUUAACUGUAUCGCUAUGAAAAACAAAUUGUAUGAACACUGUAAGGACUUAGUUAAGAAUCCAAAUUCAUUCAAAAGAAAUUGAAGCUUCUAUAGGUUCAUCCUCAACUUUGCCAACUUAAAAUGAAAUUUAUGUGAGAGAUAUAUGAAUACAAAAGAUAUUCGAAGAGAAUGUUCUUAAAUCACCAUAACUUAUAACUUGAUAAAUAAAAAAGAGAGAUGUGACAUAUUGUUAUUUUGUGUUUUGCUAACCAUGUUUGUUUGUGAUUUUAUUUUAGUGUUUUAUUAUGCAGGGUGUCAUGCAGGAAGCGCGGUGGCAUCCAAUUCACAUCUAACUUAGUGCUGAUCAACAACGUUGCAGUGCAGUGGAUAUUGUAAAGACUUAUGUGAAGGGAUCAACAACCGGGUGGAAGCCAAUGAGCAGAAACUGUCUUGGCCGGUGAGUCAAUGUCAGUCUUUCAAAGUUACUAAUAGUGAAUGUCACAAAUCUAUGUUGGUUAAACAACUUCAGAACGAAAAAAUGUUGAGAAUUGUUGCAAUACCAAGAACACUAUCUGGAACACUAAAUCAGACAAAACCAUGUUCAUAAUUUACAGUUUACCCUCUUACAUAAGUUACUAAAACACUAUCUGGUGUUUCUACCAAAACUAAUUUACAGAUUAUAAAGUUUUCCAUAUAUAAAUUAUUUCUACUUAAAGCUAGAGGUCAUUCGGUAAAGGCAAAAGGUCAUUCAUUUUAUUGAUAUAGAAACCAGAUAUGUUUGCGAAUAAAACGAGUAAGAUUCAAACUAAAAAUGCAAAAGCAAGAUCAAGUAGUUUCUUAGUAUACUUGACAAUCAUAUACUUCUUUGUGAAAAGUAAGAAAAAUUUGCCUUACUUCAAUAUUUGUACGGUAGUUUAUUUUAUCUCUUAUCUCAAUAUUUGUGUGUAAGCUGCAUUUUCCAAAGGCUUUCUUAGUUAUGUUAUUUGAUGAAAAAAAUUAUAGGGACUAAAACUUGAAAUUUAAAAUUUUUAUAGGAAUAAAAAAAAUACAUUUAACAUUUUUUUUAAACAUAAGUUCUGGUAAUAUUUGCACAUUGACUACUUGAGUUCUCAAGAUGCCGCUGGUUGAAUAGAAGACUGCAGCUGGUUGCUGCAACUGGGUGUAACACUCCUAUUUCUAUUUAAGCAAUUAAACAUGCGAAUAAUACAUUUAUUUAAGAAAUAGAGAUUACGUCUUAUUCAAAAUUCAAAAACCGAUAGACAUAUAUAUGAACUUCAACAGUCGUAGCGGAAUAUAAAUCAGAGUGAUCAAAUAUAUACAUGCCAUGAGCAAAUAAAUCAUGUUUCAAGGAUAAAUCUCAAAACCCAAACAUACGGUAGUCAUCAACAAAAUCAUAAUCCAACAGAAAAUAUAAACAACCUAAUCUAGACCGACACGACAAGCCUAGAUCAGAGCCGACACGACCCGAUAUCGGAGAAAGCUCCCGAUAUCCCACGCAAAGACUCACCGAGCACUACUCCUGCACAACGUCUACUCACCCAUACAGGCAAGUAGGCUGUUAAAACCACUGAGGGUAAGCAUUACAUUAUCAUAAUCCAGAUAAAUAUCAAUCAAAUAAUAUCAUGUACUUGAAUAAUAUUAGUCAUGCAUAAAUACUUACAUCACAACUCGAUAUCUAAUAUCAACAUACAUCAAUCACAUAAAUAAUUACCCAACCAUAAAUAUUCAUUCACAACACCAAUCAUUAUCAACAUACAUCAAUCACAUGAAUAAUUACCCAACCAUAAAUAUUCAUUCACAACACCAAUCAUUGAACAAUCAUUAUCAACAUUCAUUCAUUUCGUUUCAUCACCAAUCACAUAUUUCACAUAGGACUCAUGUUAUGAUAUGCACUUAUGGACGCAUAAAUGCAUGUGGUACCAAAUCUCAACAAGGUCGUCACCUUUCGAUGCCACUUGCACAUCGAAUGUAAGGGCUCACACCUGCCUUACAAUAAUCUCGAAGUAAAAGAGUCAUCCCUUUUACAGCAACAACGACUAUGAUGCAUGGACAUGUGUAAUGACUCGAUAAUGCAACAACAAUUCUCAAUCUCAACUCAAUAUAUAGGACAACACCCAAUUAUAUUGAUUAUCUCCACAACAUUGCAUUACCAAGAAAGCAUGCCCACACACAAUUAAAUCAUAGUAUUCAUCAUCACACAUCAACAUAUUUAUCAAUAAUCAACAAUGUCAUCCAACAUCAAUUACAUGAUUUUCAAUAAUCAACAAACAUCACUUAUCACGUAUGAUUUUACAAUUCAAGAAUUCUCAUAUUCCAAGUAAGAUAGCAUACACUUCUCAUGAUAAUUAUCAUAUCCAAAAUACAAUCAUUCAUUCAUACAACUUCACUUAGUCAUACAAGAAUGGUCACAACAAUUCAUAAGACAAUACAACUUCAAGAUUCACUAGACCCCCUUUUCACAAGGUUAAUUCUUCCAUAAAAACAGCCCUAGAUGAUUAGGAUAAAGUCCCUAUACAUAGAAAUAAGUUUGGAAACAAUUGGAUCAAAGAAAAUUGCAUUUUUAAAGUUUCUGGUCAGGCAAAAUCGUAGUCCAAUUUUUCUCCAUCGUAGUACGAUUUUUUUCGAACUGAAACACCCAAAAAUCUGGUCAAAAUCGUAGCCCGAUGAAUAAAAUCGUAGUCCGAUUUCUGCCUGACAGACAAUAUCAGAUUUUCCAAUUUUCACGUUUUCGCAUGUAAAAACCAAACUGUUAAUCCGUUUUCGGUGCUGUUUUCCUCUACUUGUUCAUGACACUUAGCCCUAUCUUAAUAUGCAGAAAAUUUCAAGUUUCAACAUUCCCAAAUUCAUUUUCCAAAACCCUACACAACACUCAUUUUCCAAAACGGUUAACAAUUGAAUUUUCACCCGAAACUCCCGUUUUCUUCCAAAACGACUCGACUAUCAUAACUACAACCUAAAAACAGAAAUUCCAUCAAGUUUAACUCAUCCAACCACAUAGACAACUCAGUUAACAACUUUGUAUAUCAAAUUUCACUUUGUUCCUUCACUUGAACAUCUAGCACAACUUCACCAAUACAAACAACUUAUUUCAUAAAAUGGAAUACUCAUGAUAUCAUUCAAUAACAACAACAUAUCUACUUCAACAACACUUCAUUUAGACAUGAAUUCAACCAUAAUUCAACAACACAAUAUCUCAAUCCAACAAUUGAGCAAAACACAUAAGUAUUCAUUUUCACCCAACCAACAACAACAACUUAUUUCACAACAACAAUUAUGAAUCAUGCAUACCCAAACCAUGAAUUAGCAUCCAUAACAUCACUUAACAACAACAACAUCUAUUGAUCAUGAAACUUAUCACAAUUCAUCAACAACCAUGCAUAAUUCACCAAUUGAGCAUAAUUUACAAACUACCCAUUUUCAUACAUUAUGAACUUGCAAUUUCAUCAUCAACAAUUCAUUUAACAUCAAAUUAACAUAUUCAAACAUAUCUCUACAACAUAAGCACGAAUUUCAAAGAUUGGGUUCAUGAUAAUCACUUAUUCUCAUAAUCAAUUAUGCAUAGAAUCAAGAGAAAAAGAAUUAAUCAAAUGAUUAUGAUAAAGACUAACCCCCUUACCUUAGGUAAUGCUCAAUCUAAACUUAGGCUUCACUUUAGCUCCUAACCUCACUCCAAUCUUGAUUCUUCAAGCUCUCCCUCUUCUUCUCUUCUCCCACUUUCUCUCUCUACCUCUCUUUAGGAAAUAUCUUGUGAAAUGAAUGAAAUGAUAUUCUCCUAAGAUAACUCAUUAGGUUUAACUCUUAAUGGGCCUAACCUAGUUUCUAGUGGGCUUAACCCAUUUCUAUUCAAACCAAAAAUAUUUCUACACUUCAAACGAUAUUAACUCAUAACGGUAAAAACUAAUCACUACACUGAUAACUUAGUAAAAUAAGGGUUCUCACUAACUAUUAAAAUAAUUCUCACCAAAUUACCAUGUUACCCUUACCCGCCAAAUGACCAAAAUACCCUUCUAAUACGGUAAUCCAUGUAAUAAUUAAAAUAAAUCUAGCUAAAAAUCGGGCUGUUACAUUGGGGCCAUGGAUGUUCUUAUACCAGACCUUCAUUUGAUAUAUUCAAGGUCACAUUUCUCUUUGCAUCCACACUACCGUUUCUAUUUGAAAACUUGGAUAAUGAUAUAUGUCCCGGAAAAAUUACUCGCGAAAGCAUCACGACUCCCAACAGCUGAAGUUCAUUUGCGAUGGUGUCAGAAAUGUUUGCUUCAUGAUGAAUAGCACUGCCCUUUGAACUUUUAGGCAGCAUCUGACUUUGGUAAUGGUAUUAUUUUUCCAUAAAUCUCAAAGAAGCUAGAAAAGAGGCUUUAAAAUAGUCCCACGUCGACCCAACAAGUAGCAAGCUAUUGUUAAUGAAUGAUAUGGGUGUUAUAAAGAACACCUCAUUGCUCAAGUUAAAUGAUACCAGACAUGGUCUACCAGGGCUAUGAUUUUUACACAACCAAUGAUACACUCCAUCCAUAUAGACAUGGGUGUUACGAAGAAUGCGACAUUAAAUGUUGAAGAUGCAACAUGUGCCGUGCUGUGCUCACGGUGACAUUUGGUCAUACACGCUUUUCAAUUUCUAAAAGUUAUUCAAUGUCAAACAAAUUUACACAUGCAUAUAUAAGCUUAGUUCCUCGUAAACCUCUUCCGUAGAACUUUGAAAGUUAGAUUAAUCUAACAUAUAAGAAGAUCACAUCUUGAUCAUUAGGUCAAUCAAACAGACAAAAUUUGGUAAUACAUUAUUCAAGUAGACCACUGAACAAGUCAUUGAUAAUACAUUCAAACUAAAAACUGCAUAAUUAAGCAUAAUUAAAUUAAGGCCAAGUUUUCUAUUAUCAUGUCUUAUGAACAUGAGUGCUGGAAAAAAUCACAGCUCUAUAAUAAAUACUGCUUAUAAUGCAUGAGAAAUGAUAACAAUUAGCAUGCAAUCGCAGAGAAGAUGCGACGACUUAUUUCAUCAACGGAAAUUUCUUCUGAAGAAUGGCCAUCUGCUACUUGUCCAAUAAGUUUUUAUCUUUUUCAAGUCUUCAUUCUCACUCUUAUAUCAGGUAUCAUUACAGAAUUCCAUUCCAUCUCUCUGUCAUUCUGUUCAUAAAAAUUCAAGCAAACAUAUGAGAGUUAGCAAUAGUACCAUUCAUGCAGUCAGAAUGUGAUCAACAAUACUAGUAUAACAUGUUUAAGCAAGUGCAUUUCCAGAUAGCGCUCGGCCAUAACAAAAAAUAUCAUGAAUUUCAAUCUUCUAAAGUGAGAAAAUCAAGGGUUGUAAUUUUAAUACACCCGUGAUUUGUUAUGAUGUAUCUACAACAGUGGCGGAGCCAUGUGUGUACUGGGUAUGGCCAUGACCUACCCACUUAUUAUUGAAAAUACCAUAAUACCCCUGGUUAAUUUUAAUAUCACUGCCAUAUGCUAACAUCUAGCUAAGAUCCUACUUUGUGAAAUCGCAGGUACUAUUUUUACAAUUCAUAUCUUAACAUAAUUAAGGAAAAUGUCAGUGUCCAGUUAUUUAUUUAUUUUUUGGUUCUGCGUCUGUUGAAUUGGGUUUCACAGAUAACACUACUGCUGCUGUAGCUAGUGCUGCAGUUAGUGUUACUUCUGGUGUUCUGCUAGAUAUGAACAAUUAGUGUAGAGCCCAAUUGAUGUUAUGAGUCAAAGACUAAUGUCAAGGCAGUUGUAAUGGUAGUGGUGGAAAGAGUAUUUUGGAUUUUUGGUUAAUCUUUAUUUUCUGAGAAUUAUAGAAAUGGUUUUGAUGUGUUAUAGAAAAUUCUUUAUGCUUAUGGGCAAGAGAAUUCUCUAUUUCAAUAUUGACUUAUGAAGCAUAUAAUGUUGUUUGUUUGACUUCUUACUCUAUGGUUCAUAGGUUCAUAUGGGGUAGUUUUGGUUCAUGUUUGACUUCUUACAUCAUUUUGAUAAUUUUAUUUCUUUGCAAUAGAAAAAUCAAGAUGGAGAAUAAAAAAUUUCAUUCAUUUUACACGAGGAAGGCCAAUGAUAUUGAAAGAUAAGAAGACCUUAUAAUUUCUUAAUCUCAACCUGAACAAGUUUGUGAGAAUCCAAGAAUUGAAGAAAAUGAGCCUUGUCAGUUUAUAUUGAAAGGGAAAGUUAGUGUAUCUAUUAGUUCCGAGUCAGUUAUUGAUGAUUUCAAGUCACUCGGAAAACGUAAAGUGUCACUUUAAAUAUUUAAUUACUGAUUUUAUGUAUUAUGUAGUUUAAAUUUUGAAUUAUCGAUUUUUGAUUUAUUACAACAUAAAUAUGUUGUAUGUAAAUAUGAUUUAUAUAUUUUAGUUUAUUUUGAUGGUGGCCAUCCCUAAUAUUUUUGUCCGGCUCCGCCAAUGAUCUACAAUGUAUCUCUUUAAUAUGUUAAUUACUGAAAGUAAAUGUACCUUAUAAAAUAGAAGAAUAAAAACCAAUGAGUAAUACAACUACUGCAAUGAAAUGUAUCUCAGAGUAUAUGGUAUGUUAACUCCCUACAUAUCUAAGUAUAUGCAAUGAUACACACAGUAUAUUUCACCACCUAUAGUAUAUUUCGACAUUAAGCAUAGAUAAAAUUUAACAAAAAAAAAAAACAUUAAGUAUAGAUACACUAUAUUCCAGUACCACCCCUUCAAUGUUACACUAUCAUAGAUCCUCUGUUACUCAAUUGUAACUAAUAUACAAUUAAGUUCAAUUAUACAUUUCUUCUGUUACUUAGCAGAAACCCUUGCCUCUCCAUUCACCCCUUUAUUGAGUUUUAAUUCAAGUGAUAGACUUAGGAAUGAUUGGUUAGUUACUAAGUUUAAACAAACUCAGGAAGUUCCAGUGCAAGUAACUACACUAGAGUUAAUUAGUUCAGAAAGCAUAUGGCUUUAUUAUGAACCAAAGACAUCAACACGGACACUUAACAUGACACAGACAUGUUGGCACCACUAGUAUAAAGACAUUCUAGCUUCUAGGUAAACGGGUGACUCUGGAGUUAUGCAACACUUCACACUCGAGCUUGUUCUUAUCAUGUUCAUCAAUGUCAGCUUCCUAAAUACCAUAAAAAGCAAAUCCAUUGUUACCUAUGAACCACAGACAUCAACACAGACACCUACACAAACAUGUUGACACCACUAGGUUAAAGAUAUAGGACACUGACACCACUAGUUUAAAGAUAUAGGAGACUGACACCGCUAUAUGCAUUUAUUUAUUUAUUUAUAAAAUAUCAUAAUUGAGAACUAAAAUAUAUACAACAAGAAAGCUGAAAAUGUUAUAUCAAACUUAAUGUCUUUUCUUGUGUUUUAACUUGAGCUCUGAUUAGAUGAAUUUUGCAUGGCACUUCUGGUAGUUAUUGAACAUGCUGUUCUCUUGUAUGAUAGCGAAACGUAAAGAAUUUUGCUGAUUAAACCUGCUUUUGAGUAAUCCAGUUACUCUGUAUAUUCUUUAGUACAGUGAAUAUUUUUUCAUGGGAUUAUUAUGUUACUUGUAGGCGGGGUAAUACUGAUAGUUAAUACGUAUUUUCAUCAUAAUUAGAUUUAGAUUGCUACUUUCUAGACCAACUAACCUGACAGCGAAACUGUUAACUAGUUAAAUAAAGAAAGCUAAGAUCUCACAUCGUUGAAUUUAACGUGUUACAACUUACAAUAGUUCUUGGAACAGGAAUUUUAGAAUUUUUUAAACUUGGCCAUUCUAAGACGAUGGUGAUGACAAUGAUAAUCACAAACAUGCCUUAUCAGCGAUAUAUAUUUAAAAUCGUGGCCCGGAACUAUCCAUAAUUUGGAGAAUAAUUCUAAGAAAUAAAGACAAAGCUUUGAGUUUCCGGUGUAUUAGCAUAUUUUAGCAUAAAACUACUUAGACGGUGUACACAAUUUUAUUAGCAUAUUUAAAGAUAACCUAAAUAAUUUGGUCCUCUAUCUCUACUUGAAGAAUCAGCAACAAAUUUGUUAACCAAAAAAUAUUAUGCAUUAAUAUAAGCAAUGUUCAGAAUCAAAUCUAAUGUUUCAGCUUAUAUCUAGUAAAUACAGCCUCACCACCAUUUUCUCCACCGAUAUCUUUGUCUACCGCAUGUAGUCAUAUGCAAUAGACAAUCCUUUCCAUUAAUUGGUAACCUUUCCAUUAAUUUGUAAUCGGAUAGUCUGAAUCACACAUUCAAAAAAUCACCUUUAAAUAAUCUCAAAUAUCGAUAAAGAUUUGACUGUCAAUAACAGUUUUACCGUGACACACAAACCUUAUGUUUUAUUAUCAUUAUUAUAUUAUAAAAUAUAAUAGCAAGUGAUGUGAUGUGAUGAUUACACAAGUUUAGCGACUUGGGUUCAUUUAAUUUGGACCAGUUAUACUUUAGGUUGAACUUGGACCACUCAAAUGACCUACAAAUGUAGGUUUGAAACCGGUCAAAAGUUAUGAAGCACACAACAAGUGAAUCGUACCAACCUCGAAGCUAUUAUUAUUGAGAAAUGAUAUUUGUACAACCAUUUUGUGGCAAUUUUUGUACAACUUUAUCUCUCAUACUCACAUUAUAAUUUUAUUCUCUCUCUUCAUUUUUCUCUCUCCUUUAUUUUUGACCAAUAGAAAGAGAGAAAAAUGAAGUUGUCAUGGUAGUUGUCAAAAAUGGUUGUUCAAAUAACACAACUCAUUUUUUUUUUUUUGGUACAUCACUACUCAUUAUUAUUAUUAAAUUUAAAAAUAAAUAGAACGGUCUCAUAACUAUUAAAAUUUAUAAAUCAAAGAGUUAAAAUUAAAAAUUUAAAUCUUUAAAAAAAAAAAAUUAAUAAAGUCUAUGGUACAUCAUCCACAGUAUUGAUCCAGUUUAAACGUUUAGUGUUAAAAAUUUAAAGGAGAUGACCAAUGACCGGGUAUAUAUAAGGGAGUAAUUUACAAAUUUUAAUAACUAUGAGAUUAUUUCAAAACAAAAAUUAAGCAGCAACAAGUAUUUCAAUUCUUCUGAUGUGAAUCAUAUUAUCUCAGUUCUUCUCCUCUUCUCACUGACGACUCACUCGCCUCACCCUAACGUCUGUAUUAUCUCGUCUCUCUCACCUCUUGUUGUUAGAUAAGCUAAGGUAAGCCAAUCGAUUCUCCAAUUUCUCAUUUCUUCUCUAUUUGAAUUGGAUUCAAGUUUUUUGUUUUAAUGUGCUCCAAGUGUUCGACAAAAUGCCUGAAUGAUUAAAUUUCUGUUACUUUAAUGGUGAGAAAAGACUUUGUAUGUACGUUUGUUUGUAUUUAAUUAUUUAUGGUUCUAAGUUUGUUUCAUUUUGGAGCAUAAUUUGAAUGAAAAGAGAUGAUAUGAAUCAUUACCAAUUACUUUGUUUUUAAUUGUAAAUGUUUCUAUUUGUAUAAAUUUUGUGCAUAUCACUUGCUUGAUAAUUUGCAUGAAAAAGGAUGCGAUGAAUCAUUAACAAUUACUUUGGUUUUAACUGUUAAUGGUUCUAUUUCUGAGUUUUGUUUACGUGCUAGGGUUGUAUACGUGUUUGAUGUGAUUUAAUUAGGUAGAAGAUGGAAGUUUUGUAUGGAACUUGAAAUUUUCUUGAGGAAGUUUUAUAUGCAAAUCUUGAUAUUGUAAGUGAUGUGAUGUAAGUUUAUGAUAAGUGAUGAUAAUGUUGUAUUAUCUGACUAGUAGCUGAUAGGAGUCUAGUGAGAGAACUUCUGUUAAUGGGGAUUAAUCCUAGAGCUAAGUAAUUGUAAAUAUAACAUUGAGGAGGUAAAAAUUUCUGCAUGUUUUUGUUGCUAAAAAGAAUGCUACUGUUGUAAAUACCUUAGGCCAAAACUCUGUCUUCCAACUUCGUCUUCUUCUUUCCGCAACGAAACGUUACGAUGAACAUGCUGGAUUGUUCUCGAAUCUAAAAGGUGCGAAAAAAUUAUCCUCCCUAAUCCUCAUGUUAUUUAAAUUAUCCUUACCCAAACAACAAGUUUUGUCUAUAAUGUUAGAAUUAAUUUGAUUUUAAUGAGUUUUAAUGGGUGGAACGGUGGAUUUUGUGUCUAUAUUUUAAAGCUGAAAAAGUUAAUUUAAGCAUAAAGUAAUAGAGAGUAUUGAUUUUUGUAUUUAGUCCUUUACUUGUGUGAUAAUAUGUGCAGGAACCAAGCCAUGGCCUCCAAGCUGCUUUUGCAGAGAAGGCUCUUCAGGUUCUUGCGACAGUCACAACAAUCCUCAUACUCCUUUUCUUCUUCAUCUUCCAUUCAACGAUCCUCGUUCCAUUCUGCGAAACAAACAGAAAUAUCGGGUUUCUCAACUUUCUCUAGAAGCUUCUGCUCUCGAAAGUCCAGUCUUGUUGAUGAAUCUAAUGCCCCCGCACCUAUUGAUUACACGUAUGACACAUCCUUUUGUGUUUUUCGUCCCUUUGUCUCAUUUGAUCCGUGAAAACUCUGUAAAUUUGAUUUUUUAGAUACUUUUUUUUUAAAAGCAAAAAAAUAAAAAAAAAUUGUCCCUCUGAAUUUGAGUUUUUUUUUUUUUUUUUUUUUUUUUGAAUAAGGAAAGUGUUAAAAUAAUAUUAUUGAAAAUCCAAAUGUCAGUGGCAAUUGCUAAUGCCUCGCGGGCCAUUAAUGCGUAGUGUUGAUUGAAAUAGAUGUUGUGUUUUGUUUAUUCCUUUCAAAUGGCUGGUAUGCUUUUGCUAUUUGCUAAUGAUUAAUAUGGAUGCAGUUCUCUACUGCAGGAGGGUGAAUUCCAUAGACUGGCCGAGUCCACAAUACAUAGCCUUCAAGAGAAAUUUGAGGUAUCUAUUCUCUAGCACUCCUGGAAACAGCCUCUUGUGUAAAACAGGGUAAGGCUGCGUACAAUACACCAAAUGAAGGGACCCCUUCCCGGACCCUGCAUAUGCGGGAGCUCUAGUGCACCGGGUUGCCCUUUUUAUUCUCUAGCACUGUUUUGAGUUUUACACGAACUUAAAUUUAUUAUAUGAUACGACAAUCUCGGUAUCCACUUCAAAUUAUGUAUUUGAUCUAACAAUUGCCAACAUUAUUUGAUAAAUAUAGAAUUUUGAUACAAUUAUGCUUAAAUUCAAAUGUGUUUCGAUAAAAUUAGUAUUGGUUGUGAUGGAAACUUGACAGUGACAAUGUUACACUUCAUAUUAUUUAAGAGUUUAAACUACAUUGGUUAUUAUUUUGGUUUAUUGUUACUUGGCAGGACUAUGGAGACUUUAUCGACCUUGAUGGAUUUGACAUAGACUAUGCGGUGAGAAACUUAUUUGGAGAGUAUGUUAUAGUUUUAUAGAAGAUAGGUAGCAAGCAGCUAAAAUUAUUUCUUAUAUAAUAUCCUACAACUUAUGUAUUUUAGAAGACAACACGGAAGCUAUCUUGUUGUAUGUGAUUAUUUCAAAAAUAAUCACAUCGAUAACUUGAUAACCUUUUUUAUCGAUGAAACUCAGUUAAGUAGUUUGAUCUUUUGAAAAUUAAAUGCUUUCUUUUCCCUGUUAAGACUUUAAAUAAUUUAUUCCUAUUAGUUUUAAGAAGCAUCAUCCCUGUGUCUGUGUGGGAGAUAUACUAAUUGUUAACAUGGCUUUCCUUUUCAGAAUGAUGUUUUGACUGUCAAACUUGGGGAGUUGGGCACCUAUGUAUUGAACAAACAAACACCAAACAGACAACUUUGGCUUUCUUCACCAGUGAGGUAUUUUAUUGUAUAUAUGGUUUUUUUUUUUGGUUUUUUUUUUUAAGAUGUAUAUUUUUUAUAUCAGGUUUUACUCUCUACUAGCCAUCAGUAUUCAUGUAGUAAGUAUAUGGCAUGUGAGUACUUCAUAGAAAACUACAAUAUCCAUGCUUACUUAAUAUUUCCUAGGAUAUCAUUACUAAAUAUGAACUGGAGAUAACAAAUCCAAUUAGUAUUGUAAACAAUCUUCUUUAAUCAAACAGGCUAUUUAUAUGUUAAUAGUUGUGUAUUUAUUAAGGCAACCCUAUUGGGAAAAACCCAAGUCCCACAUCGGAUAGAUAAGACUCAUGAUAAUAGUUUAUAAAGAGGAGACACUCCUCACCUUAUGAACCGCUUUUGUAAGGAUGAGUUAGGCCCCAAAUUUCAACAUGGUAUCAGAGCUUGUCGAGUUCAAAGGGCACCUACCUAUCCACGCACCAAGUCUAAAAAGAGUGAUGGGCGUGAGGGGGUGUAUUGGGAAAAACCCAAGUCCCACAUCGUCUUGAUAAGACUCAUGAUAAUAGUUUAUAAAGAGGAGACACUCCUCACCUUAUGAACCGCUUUUGUAAGAAUGAGUUAGGCCCCAAAUUUCAACAUGGUAUCAGAACUUGUCGAAUUCAAAGGGCACCUACCUAUCCACGCACCAAGUCUAAAAAGAGUGAUGGGUGUGAGGGGGUGUAUUGGGAAAAACCCAAGUCCUACAUCGGAUUGAUAAGACUCAUGAUAAUAGUUUAUAAAGAGGAGACACUCCUCACCUUAUGAACCGGUUUUGUAAGAAUGAGUUAGGCCCCAAAUUUCAACAAACCCUGUGUAAUUGAAGUUUUACAUAUGUUGGUGUUUCUUGUCCUUCGCAUGUUGGUCUUUCUUAUCUUAUUGGUGGAGAAGAAAGAAGCAAGGAUUUGAAAACUUGUAGAAACUUUCCCUUUGGUUUAAUUGCUUUAUUUGAAGUGUUAUCUUAUAGUUUCUUUGUGAGGAAAUUGAGGAUAUAUACAAUAUUUUAUCAGGGUUCAUUUUUAAUGUUUUUCUUCAGGAGGAAAGUACUGUUAUGUAAAUUGAAUCUGAGCUCACGGAAGAAAUGAGUAUAGUAGUAAUUUUUAAUAUUUUCAAUUCUAUUAAAAUAUAGGUUUAGUUCUUUGCAUUGAGAGAUGUUACUAUCUUGUUAUGUAGCAAGAGCAUAUGCAGACCUUGUUAUAUAGCAAGAACAUAUGCAGACCGAUCUUGUCUGUUUGUACCAUAAGAAAUGGUAUCUUACUCUUGUUGUAUCUCCGUUCAAUGCUAUUUUGAUUAUCAAUAAAGAAGUAGGACGCAUUCAGCCUUAACUCUUUAAGUGACAUUAAUUAUGAUCGAUUGUAGCCACCGGAAUUUUCUUAUCAUUUUGGAGGAUUCUAAGACUCUCAUGUCGGAGAGUCUCACCUAAUAAGUGAAACUUAUAAGGAGUUUUCCCAUCUAAUAGUCUAGUCUUUUAGAUGAGCUCUCCCUUUGCGAAAACUUGAACUCGAUAUGAGCAAUGUGUUUUUGUGAUCCUUCUGUGGGGGUCAAGUUUUAAAACCCAUAUUAGAAAAAGCACACAGAUUGUGCAAAAACUAAACCUUGUCACUUAAGUUUGUCCCUGUAAUCCUAACUCCUAAGCCUCUUGCAACUGCUGUUCAACAGCCCUAAUUUUUGUUUGUGGGUUCUUUAUUUGAUAUGAUCCCUCCGUUUUCCGUUAUCCAUAUGCAAGGGCUUCCUUUCCAGUUCUACAGAGAGGUUGCUACGUGUUCUUCUCCCCUGCUAUACAGCCACUCAUCUUCCUUUUUCCAUGCGCUGCUGCGACUGCUCUUCAUUUCUGACACGGUCCAUUUUUCCUCUGUUUGUGUUGUGUGUUUGUGCUUUGUUCUGUUUCUUCCGUGUUCGGUGUUUUUGUAUUUGCUAUCUGGAGCUAUUACUUGUAUAUGCAUGAGUUUGUGAAAUUUGUGGGAUAAUACAGGAUCUUAAGUUUGUCUACCUUAUUCCUACUAAUGGGUUAGCCUGUUGUGGUGGCUCUCCUUUUGACCUUAUUCACAUAAUAAAGGCCUUUGUAUGGUUUUGAGGCUUUAAGUGCAGUUCGAUUUAUUUUAAGUAGAAUACAGUUUGAUCCUCUUGACGUGCAUUUUUUUUAGGAAAAUAGUUUUCUAUUUUAUCAUGCUUGUCUUUUUAAUCUGCUUUGCCUAAACUAGACGGCCAUUGACAUAAAACAUAGGACAGAAUAGGUAUAAUAAUAAAAAUGAGACUUGCAUAUUGACAGUAUCUAUUUCUCUACGAGUUCUACAUUCUCUUCCACCUGUCUAAAAGUCUCCCAUUUCUAUUGCAGUGGUCCGUCUAGGUUUGAUUGGGAUCAGGUUACUAAAGCUUGGAUAUAUAGGCGGAACAAAGCAAAUUUAUACAAAAUCUUAGAAGAUGAGUUGGAGCAGUUGUGUGGCAAACCUAUUGUUCUUUCCUAAGCUGUUGAGAAUGUGGUACUUAAUCUUGAUUUAAAAUUUAAAAAUGGGAAAUCAUUGGACAUUGUUGAUGAUCCUUUGGCAUUCAGGUGUACUCAGUAAGCAGAUUUUGUUCCUUUGCCACCUUUUACUCUGUAAACUAUACCAGUUCUUUCACAAUCAUGACGUGAUUGUAUCUUCUGAAUAAUCAGCUCUAUAUAGAACUCAUGUGGUUGACAUUAGUUUACUCUUCUGAAGAAUUACAAUUGUAAUGGGCAUUAUUGUUGGUUACUACUGGUGAGCUAGAGCAACUCAAAUGGUGAUCUUUAUCAAAGGUUGUUUUGCGGGUCCUCUAACCACAUCAUCUUGAAGCAACUAUUUUUUUUCAUUUGUUCCAAUGAUAAAACACUAAAGAACUGAUAUUAGAACAACAACUUUAUCACCCAAUCUUGUUUUAUUCAUAUGUAACAUUAUUUUAUAUUGAACCCUGUUUUUAUUGCAACAAACCGAAAGAAAAUAAUUUUAUUUUAGUCCCUUUUGUUUCAAAGUUUUGUUGCGUCAAUAAGCAACGGUGAUGACAGGACAGCUGUCCAAUUUUCUUUUAACUCUAAAAUGGUGAAAGGGUGCAACACAUUGGCAGACUCACCCAUUGGUAGAGAAAUUAAAUUUGAACAACGAACAAUUUUUUGAAUUGACUUCUUUUUCUAUAGCAAAAAAUAAUAAAUAGAAAAAGAGAGUAAGAAUACAAUGAAAACAUGAAAGUUGUUUAAAAAAUUGCUGGGACGAUUUAACUAUUUUAGAAUACGAAUAACACAUGAAUUCACAAGGAUGGUUUAACUAACGAGCAAUGAUAUUUGAACAACUAUUUGGUACCACCUUUAUGACAAAUUUUUUUCUCUCUUCUUAUUGGUCAAAAAUAAUGAAGAGGGAAAAGGGAAGAGAGAGAAUAAGAAGAUAAUGUGAGUAUGAGAGAUAAAGUUGUAUAAAAAUGAUUGUACGAAUAUCAUUUCUCUUAACUAUAUAAACCUAUUAUUAAACACUCUUAAAUUGUAAGUUUCAACUACUCAAAAUAAGUUUUAGAUAUAGAUAAAAUAAUUGUUUUUACACAUUCAAGGAUAAAAUUACUUUAUAGAAAAAUACCUAGUUAAAAUUAGUAUUAAAUUAAGGGUUAAUGGUGCUUUACCCCCUGUAAUAUAGGUCAUUUUUUAUUUUCCCCCUGUCAAAUAUUUUUUUUGAUUUACCCUCUUGUAAAAUAUAUUUUUUUUGGAAUACCCCCUAAUAUUUUUUUUUUUGAAUACCCCUAAUAAGUCAUUAAAAAUAUUAAUACCAAUAGUUUCCAAAACCGAAAAUUCAAUAACAAAAACAUAUUGAUGUAAAUCAUAUAUUAUUUAUAUUCUUUAGAAUAGUCUAGAUACAUUAUAAUCAAACUGAUAUUUUUUUGUUUUUGUUUUUACACAUGAGUCGAAUCUGAUAGAUAUUUGUGGAACUAAUCUAGGUUUAAGUCAAUAGGGUUGUCCUCGACAGUCUUUGUUGGGACACAAAGGACAUAGCGUCACGCAAGGGUACUUUCGUCCAUCCAAUUCAAAGAGAGUGGUUUUUUGUUGGGAGAAGAGCAAUUUUCAACAAAUAAACCUAAAGUAAUCAUCUUCUUCAUCGCAACACAAGAAGCAUGUCAAUCCUUAGUCGAUUGAAACUCGCAGGUACUCGUUGUUUCUUCUACUCUCUCUCUCUCUCUCAUUAAAUUUCUUGAAUUUGUUAUUGCUUUGUUACAAUUCUGUUCUAAGAAAAUUCUAUUGCGCUUCUUAAUUUAGCCUCACACAGAAAUAAUAUAUAUGUUUAGUCUUGGCAAGGGACCAAAUACUAACGUAUAGUUAUCAUAUAUAUUGCGUGCUUGCAGCAACAAUGAAGAGCUGUGAAAAGCUUGAGAAUGAGUUGUCUGAUCAUAUUAUAUCUUAUAUCUUUUCCAAGUUAGCUUUGAAAGAUUUGGUGAAAACCAGUGCAUUGUCCAAACAAUGGAUUCACGAAUGGGGAUUAAGGAUGGACCUUAACUUCGAUCUCUAUACCAUGUCCGACUAUAACACAGAUCAAGACUUGUCACAAAUCCUUCCUCUCUCUCUCAAAGGUUUCACUUUCAAUCUGAAUUUUCCACAAGAUUGGAUCAAUUUAUGCUGCAUUAUAAAGGUGCCAUCAUCCGUUCCAUUCGAGUAAAAUUUCCAUUAUGUAAUCAACAUAGGGAUGUCAUUCAUAGAUUGAUCUCCAAAGGAAUUGCUAAGGGUGCCAAACAUAUUGAACUUCUCUUCUCUUCUGAAACAACUGAUACUACUAUUUCUAUUAUGCCAUACAGAUUUUCCCUUAUUCUCUUACUUGAGAAUGAUUCUGUGACCUAUUUGCACCUACAAAACUGCCUCAUAGACAAACCCAGAUACUUCUCUGGAUUAAAAAAUUUGAGAACUCUUGUGUUGCAACAAGUUUUUGUGAAGAAGACACUCCUUAAGACUUUGUGUUCAAAUUGCAACCACCUUGUUGACCUCACCCUUGAUGGUUGUAAAAUCACUUCCAAGUUGGUAAUAAACAGCCCAUCAUUGCUUCGUUUGAACAUUGCUAAUGUUGGGUUUUACCCUCGAAAUCUUAUUACUAUCAUUGCCUCAAGUCUCUCAUCCUUUGAGUAUUCUUGUCUUAAAGAACAUGUAGUACACCAAAUGAACAUUCAAGCUCCUAUGUUAUCCAAGUUUAGCUUUAGAGGUGCUUUGUUUUCAAAGCGUAUACGGUUAUCUGGAUUGACGAACGUAACAAUAAUUAAGUUUGAUGCAUUACUAAUUGAUCUAUCCACAAACAUCUUGCCUCAUUUGUUUUCUAAAUGUCCUCAACUUGAAGCUGUCACUCUUAAGAACUGCUUGUUCACAAGUUCAACACAAAUUACCAGUUCGAAGUUACGUCAUUUGAUCAUACUUGAUAGUGUUUGGGUGGAUGACUCUCCUUCUGAUAUAUCUAUUGAUGCAUUAAAUCUUUCAUCCUUUGAAUAUACUGGGUACACCACAAGGAUAAUUUCUUUUACGGCUCCAAGGUUAUCGAAGGUUUUCUGGGAUACAUCAGAGAGAGAGAAUAGACCACACCUUUUUGAUCCAAUUGCAAGUUUACCACAUAUUGAGAAUUUAGCUAUGAUCAUCGGCACUUUACAAGUGAGUCGCUCAAUGAUAUUCCAACACUAUAGUACAUUCCAACAGUGUCUAGGUUUCUUUCCAUUACGUUUUUCACUAGCUGCUUUUAAUUCACUUAAGUAUCAUUGUUGUAAACAGGUAAAGGAAUUAGCGAAAGUCUUGGUUCGGUUUCAAAAUCUUUGACAAUUGGACUUACAUAUUGAUGGAGCAUGUGAUCCUAUUAUGGACUACUUUUGGCUUUUGGAUAUUGCAACGGCUUCUAGGCAUCUCCAAAAACUUACACUGAGUGUAAGUUAUUCAAACUUUUUUUUUUUUUCUUUUGUCUUGAAUGGAACUAGAAGUUUAUUUUAAAACUUAGCUGCAGUACGAUAGGUAUUGUUUUUGCUAUUUCCCAAUUGAAACUAGACACAUGUAAGAGUAGAUAAAUAAAGAUGAAUAAUUUUUGUUUUUCUUUUUAAAUAUUAACACUAACUUAAAACUCAUAUACUUUAAAAUAAACAAAUUUCUCCGAAUGUUUUUUCAUAAUAGUAAAUUAGAUUUAUUUAACCAAAAAUCCCAAAUCAAUUAUCAAACCUUUAAUUGAUAUUGAAAAUGGGUGAGAGACCGAAACUCAUACAAUUGAAUUUGAGAGACCAAAAAGUUGGAUUUUAAAAUAGGGGACCAAAACUUCAUUUUUCCUAAAACAAGUCAAUCAAAAGUGCAUUUAAGUCAAAAACCACUAUCAAACAACUCUAUUUUAGUCUUGUGUGUUUGUAUGAAAGUUAUACUCUAUCGGUUUAUAAAUACACGUCGUAGUCAAUCACUUCACAUAUGCUAAUACACAACUUUGAUAAUCAAUAUCUUUAGUUAUCUAUGAUAAAAAAAAAUUAUAACAGUUAGAUAUGUUAUAAAUAUUCAUUGAGACAAGUUGAACAAAAUCUUAUAUACUAACAUUAGUGUUUAUAUAUUAGGUAAAAAUAUAUUACACAUUAUGAAUGUGAAUAAUACAUAUUACCAACGUCAAAAAAGAAAGAAAGAAUAGUACACAUUAUCAAAUUGUUACAUGUAUCUUAUAAGCUAAUAGUUUGACCUUGUCAAACAUAAUAAACAACAUCGUAUUUCAAUUAAAAUAAUGAAUAAGUUGUGGAUUAGUUUUAUAUGCUAAUGGAAUUUUAAAAUUCUCAUAAAUGUAUCGUUAUUUUCAAUUUUCAGAUUAAAAAUCUUCAUCCGGAACAUUCACAUAUGGUUGGAUUUAAAAGGCAGAAAAGCGAAUAUGAGGGGUUUUCUCAUAAUGUUUUGAAAUAUGUGGAGUUUCUCGGCUGUGUUUGCUCCAUAAAUGUUUUUGAGUUAGCUACUCACCUAUUGAAGAGUGCAAAUUCGCUUAAGAAAAUGACUUUCCAUUCUAGUGACAGAGUCUAUCUUGGAGGUGGUAGAUGGACAACUUAUUUUAAUGCAUGUGGUGGUGAUUGUUGGUUAGGAAAGAAUGUUAUUCACGAGAUGUUUAAGGAUUGUUAUCAUGGUUUUUGGGUGCCAAGCCAUUAAUUAGACUUGUACCUUUCGACCGUUGAUAUCUCUAUUUUUUCUUGGGAAGGGCAAAAUUGAGAAAAAACCCUUAGAUUCUAAGUUCGGGGGCCGGUUUUACUACGGGAAGGUGUUAGGCACCCGGAGUAACUAUAGUCCUCUAUAGGAGCCGUUUUCCUAAGUCUAUAUUCACGCUUAUUUUUACUUACUUUUGAAAAUGGGAGGUUUAUUUAGUUAAGAAUGGGGGGGAGAGAUUGUAAGACUUUGAUUUUAUUUCGGCUUGGAUGAGUUUUGACUCAUUGCCUACGUACCGUUUUACAGGAUCAAAACCGGCGUAGUUCUUGCUAAAAAGACUUGUUUUUCUUUUGUUUUAAUUGUUUGAUUUUAAGUUUUGAAAAAAAGGUUUUGAAGAAGGAGAUUGGGAGGCUUCAUGAGCAUUAGAUUUUAGCAAAAGGUGAAGUUUGAUUAGUGAUUAGAAAAAAAGUCUAAAUGAUUAAGAUGAAUUGAAUUUUCCUUUAGAGAAAAAAAAAAAGAAAGGAAAAAAAAAAAUGAAGUGUUGACUUCAUACUUAUUAUGAAAAUUUUUGAAGUGAAGUUCAAUUGUUUUUUUUGGAAAAAAGAUGGAUUUUCUCUAAGUGUUUAAAACCUAAACGCUUAUUUAACCAUACAAUCCUAUGCAUACAUCUAAGGUGAGUGUGUGCGUGUCGGUGCAUCAUAGUGUCCAUAGUCCAUAUUACAAAAAUUGCCUAAAUACAUUCUAUGGCCCCUUUGCCAAGCUACAAACCAAUGAUAACAAAUUACAUUACCAAAUGAAUUAAAACUUGCAAAAGAUAAAGGCUAGGCUAAAGAAAGUGGAGGGAAUGCUAAAUGGGAUGCAUGAAACAUGGAAAUAAACUUGUUAGUGAAAAGAAAAAACAUAACAAGUACUAAGAAAUAAAAGCAUGCAAGAUGGCACAAAAAGUUAACAAAAUGACAUUAAACCCUAAAAACUUAGGUAUGAAACCUAAAGCAUUCUUGGCCUCUAAUUCUCAUGCUUUAACAAAUUUUGAAAGAGUUUUCUUUAUCUCAAGUUAUAGCAUAGAAUUAUUGGAAACAUGCAAACAUGGUUUCAUGCCACAUUUUCUAGAAUAAACUUGGCAUUUUAUAUCUUUCAAAAUAUGCAUAUAUUGUUCAUAAAAUCAAGCACUCAUGAACCAAAUCAAAACAGCAAAUCAACAUGAAAUUAUUGGCACAAAUCUCUCAUAUUAACACGUCAAGUAGCUUUUAUUUCAUAUUCUCACAUCAAGGACAAAUGUGUGAAGAAGAAUCCAUAACAAAUAAUUCAAAGAGAAUUAAAAUGCUAUGAAUUAAUUAUACAAAAAUUUCAUAGAUCCUUAAUGUUCAAAAAUGUCAUAAAAACACUAAGAAAAUAUCAAGAAACAUGUGAUAAUUUUUUGGAGGUUUUUUGGAGAAAAUUUUAAGCAUGCAGGGGUUCAAACAGCAAAGAAAUAUGGUGCAAAUAGCAGGAAAACAAACAAAAACGUAAAAGAACAAAGCCCAAACCAAAGGCCCAAUACACUAGAAGAUCCGGUUGCACAGGAACCAUACGAUUGAUCCAGGAUUCUGAAACCCUAGAUCAGACGGCCAGGAAUCAAAGGGGGAAUGGACCGGACUGGACCGGUCCGGUUCGCUGGCUUAUAAAAAGGAAGGAGCUCCGGUUUAUUUCAUUUUGCUGCUCUCAUUCUCUCUCUAACUCUUCUCUCUUCUCUCAUCUCUCAUCUCUCACUAACUUCGCCGCCGGCGAGGAUGAAGCUACGGCGGAGACCUUGAAGGUCCGCCGGAAACUUCAUCUUCUCCGGCGAGUUCAUGCAGUUUCCGGUGACCUAAAUUUCCAGAUUUCAAAGAUUCUUACUCCAUUUGAUUCGUCCUUUAACCCUAAACACGAAUCCAGCAGUUGUUUUUUCAAAUUCAAGUCGAAACGAUGUAGAUCUGGAAAUUUGCCGUACGGCUUUGAAUUUGAUUUUGAUUUUUUGAAAGAUAACGUUUAGAUCCUUGAAGAUCUACAUCAUUUCGUUGUUUAACACCUCUUUGAUGUUUGUUCUUGCUUUCAAAACUUAGAUCCUUAUGGAUCUAGGUUUUGUGUUUACGGUUACGGUUUUGGCUUUGAAUUCUGGAAAUUUGGAUCUGUUUUGCUUGCGUGAUUUUUAGGUUUAACAGUGAUAUUGCUUUUGAAAAAGAUUAUGAGUUUUACCUAAGGUUUUGGUUGAAACCUUUAAUGGAGAAAUUCUUUGGAAAACUUCAAUCUCUGAUGCUACGUGAUUUGGCUUUGAAUCCGGAAAUAAACCGGUGUUCCUGCUGGUUUCUUGCUUUAUCGUCUUCUUCGCCGGUUUAAACCUUCAUUAUCUUUCUUUCUUCUUCGUCUUCCUCACUGUAUCUUCGUGAUCGGUGCUGGAGUUUGCCUUUGGCGAAUUCGCACCUUGAAUUGCGAAGAUACUGAUUCAAUGAUGAUGAUUCUUCAAAGAAUCACUGAGAAUCCAUGAAAAAUAGCUUGAAUUUGUGUAGUUUCUGUUUCUGGAAAAGGUUAGGUUUACGCCAUUGAUGAAUGUUGAAGCUUUUUCUGUUUUGAUUUGUAACUGACAAGAGAGAGUGUGACUCUGUGUUUAUGAGUUGGCACCUGAUGAAUGGCUUUGAGUGGCACUGUGCACCUUUUAUAGCAUGACAUGUGUGCCUCUGAACAAAUGAGAAAGUGACACCUGGACCUGGAAAAAAAAAUGACACGGCCUUGGACAAAAAAUCAAAUUUGGACCUUCUUGCAAAAAACAAAACUUAAGGACUAAACUGCAAUUGACCAAAAAAGGACUAAAAUGAAAAUUGGAAGAGAAACUGGACUGAAAUGUAAUUUUGGGACCUCAAUUGAGGGACCAAAAUGUAAUAAAAAAUAAAAUUGAAUAAAACGUAAUUUGACCAAACGUAAAGCGAAACAAAAAUAAAAUUGACAAAACGGACUAAAACGAACCAAUGGCCUAAAUGAGGUACUUCAAAGUAACCUCCCCAUGCCAAAAUUUUAUGCGAAAUGACCAAAAUGCCCCUAGGGCUAAAAAUGACCUAAACAGAGCCAAAAUGACUCGACACUGACUCAGAUGCAAGUUUGAAAUGAAAUUAGCAAGGUUUACUGAUGGAAAGUUAAAAAUGAAUUUGAAAAGACCCAGAGACAGUCACAAGGAUGAAAAUGGGUCCCACUGCAGGAAAUGACCAAAAUACCCUUCUGUAUGACUUUUUUUGCAAAUUUUGAAAUAAACUGUAGAAAAAGCAAUGUAAUGAUUCAGAGACACUUUUGAAUGACUUACAAGACAAGUAAAGACAUUUCGAAAGGUUUUAUGCAAGAAAAACAUAGGUAAAAUUGUGAUUGAAAAUACUGCGAGGCAGAGACAAUUUGAACUGUGCAGUUGAAAUUUGAUAAUUGACAAAGUUUGAAAAUGAAAUUGGGCCCAGUAUUUUUAGGUCCAAAAACAGGGUAUAACAGCUGCCCCUAUUUAAGUUUCUUUGUCUGGAGAGUCAAGAGACGGAGUCUUUGGCUUGACAGGACGAAGACACUUAAAUAUUAGCAUUUGCACUGUGUUUGGACGUAAAAAUACGCCUACCCAUUUUCAAAUAAUAUGCAUGCCAUGCAUCAUUUGGAUUAUGAAUGCAAGACCUCAUGGGGAUUGGAAUUAACAAAAUAUGUCGUAUCCAUUGCGGGAUUGGUAGACAUUGACAAAGAUAGUGAAUAGCAGAGUAACGGGAAACUAGAAACAAGUUGGACAGGUACAAGCUGUUCUUGGAUUCAAACUAGCCACUUGACCGGGGAUGAAACAAACAGACAACUGCGAGUUGUUCUUAUGGAUUCGAACUGGUCACUUCACAGGGGAUGGAGGUUACUGGACAAACAUGAGUUGUUCUUAUGGAUUCGAACUGAUAACUCACUUGGGGAUAUUGGAAAGUGCGAGUUGUUCUUAUGGAUUCGAACUGGUGACCCGACUGGGAAAAAGAGAAAAUUGGCAAGUACGAGUUGUUCUUAUGGAUUCGAACUGGUUACUCGACUGAAAGCAUGGCAAAUAGACAGGUGCGAGCUUGUUCUUGGAUGCGAACUGGUUACUCCACCGGACAGAAACAGAUAGACAGGUACAAGCUGCUCUUGGAUUGAGCUAGCCACUUGACCAAACGGAAACAUAUUGACAGGUACAAGCUGCUCUUGGACUGAGCUGGGCACUCGACCGAUAACAUAAGCAAAUUGAUAGGUACAAGCUGUUCUUGGACUUGAACUAGCCACUUGACCAAACAGAAACAUAUUCACUGGGGAUUGGUUUUGUUCUGACAAAAUAUAGAUUGAGAUUGACUUGACGUCGAUUUGAUUUGAAAGGUAGAAAUUGACCGAUAUUAUUGGCUCACAAGGUUUUGACAGAGAACCUGACAUGAGUUUUGAAUUGAGACUGAUGUUGACAUUGAAAAUGCAAUAUGCACGGAUGAUAUAACGAUUUCAUUAAAUGCAUGAGCACGUAAUAUGCAUGAUUAUGCAUGUAUGAAUGCUUGUAAUGCAUGACUGUUGGCAUUUUGUAGGCACGACUUCACGGGGAAGACGAGACAUCAGAGUAUUGGGCACGUAGUGGCUCGUGCUAUGUUACACCUUCUUGGAAAUCCUCUUUGGAGAUGACGUCGUUUGGGAGACGUAUCGGAACCAUGGCUGAGGGCAGGUAGCUAUGCAACUUGCUGGGGAUAGAAUCUCGAGAGACUUUACUGGGGAUAAUGCCGUUGUGAUAGGCAUGUUGUGGACAUCGCAUCUGUGGUCAAUGCUUUUUGCAUGUUAUAUUCUCAAUUCUCAUUCAUCAUUUUUUGCAUCCCAUUUUUGCCUGGAUCGCCCUUUCGGGUUUUCGAUCCACCGGGGAAAUAAAUUCUUUUCAAUGCCCCAUUUUUGCCUGAACUGCCCUUUCGGGUUGUCAAUCCAGCGGGGUGCUCAUUUUUGCCUAAGCCGCCCUUCCGGGUUUUCAACUUAGCGAGCCUUUUCAUUUUCAUGCAUUUGCAUUCUGUUUUUUUUCAUUUUUGCCAUUGACCACAGAUUAUCUUGGAGGAGAACCUGCUUGUAACAUAUAUGGAAAUAGACAUUAACAUACUCUCGCUCAUGCAUGUUUCAUUUGAAUGUACCCUGUUGCUCAGGUUUGCUUUUCAAAACAGACAAAAAGUUUUCAAUUUUCAAAAUGUUUGUUUCAAGCAUUGUCAUUAUCAAAAUAGAAAGAAAAUGUUUUGUAUAUAGCUUUGAAAGUAAAAAGAAAGCAGAGUUUCAAACAAAAGCACAAGCUCAAAUUGAUGUAUAAGAGUGGUGGUCAGCCGAAGGCGUGACUCCACGGAUUCACAAAGCUUGGAAAAUGGUAAUUUUAUUGGUUGGUGGUACAUUGAACACAGUAAUCACUACAUUUCUUAGAAACUUUGAAUCCACAAGUGCAGAAGCUUUUGAUGAAGACGGUCAUUAACAGCUGCAGAUGUCCCAAGGGGGACGGUGGUUGGCCAGAUAUAGUUACUUGCCUUUUGUUUCAAUCUCAUUUUUGCAUGAACCGCCCUUCCGGGUUUUCGGCUCAUCGAGACACUCAUUCUUGCCUGAGUUGUGUACAAUCUCAGCGAGCUUUUCAUAUUUGUUUUUUUUGUCCCUUAUUUUUGCCUGGACCGCCCUUUCGGGUUCUCGAUCCACCGGGAAGCGCAUUUUUGCCUAGGCCGCCCUUUCGGGUUUUCGACCUACCACGCUGUUCUUUUCAUAUUUCUAGGCAAAGUAUUUCUUGACUAUAUCGGCAUUCACUGGAUUUGGAAGCUCUACACCAUCCAUGUGUGUAAGGAUUAAAGCACCACCGGAGAAGGCCUUCUUGACAACAUAAGGACCUUCAUAGUUAGGCGUCCACUUGCCCCUUGGGUCGGGUUGCUGGCUUAUCCUCCCUUUCAAUACAAGUUCCCCUACCUUGAAUUCUCGCGGAUGGACUUUCUUGUCAAAGGCAGUCUUCAUUCUUGCUUGAUAUGACUGUCCACGAGCCAUGGCAUCCAUACGUUUUUCCUCAAUCAAAUUUAACUGAUCAUACCGGUUUUGGCACCAUUCAGCCUCAGAUAACUUUGCUUCCAUAAUCACACGGAGAGAUGGGAUCUCCACUUCCAAAGGAAGAACUGCUUCCAUACCAUAUACAAGAGAGAAAGGGGUUGCCCCGGUUGAACUGCGCACAGUAGUACGGUAGCCAUGCAGAGCAUAGGGUAACAUCUCAUGCCAGUCCUUGUAAGUGGUUACCAUCUUCUGGAUGAUUCUCUUGAUAUUCUUAUUGGCGGCCUCAACUGCACCAUUCAUCUGAGGUCUAUAAGGAGAAGAGUUAUGAUGCUCAAUUUUGAAUUCUUCACAAAGAGCUUGCACCACAUUGUUGUUCAGGUUGGUACCAUUGUCGGUAAUAAUCUUGCUGGGAACACCAUAUCGACAGAUGAUGUUGUUCUUGAUGAACUUAGCUACCACUUGCUUGGUCACAUUAGUAUAAGAUGCUGCUUCAACCCACUUGGUGAAGUAGUCAAUUGCCACUAAGAUGAAACGAUGACCAUUUGAAGCCUUCGGUUCAAUCCUUCCAAUCAUAUCGAUGCCCCACAUUGAGAACGGCCACGGGGAUGACAUAACAUUGAGAGCGUGCGGAGGCACAUGAAUCUUAUUAGCAUAGAUUUGACAUUUGUGACAUUUUCUGGCGUAUUGGUAGCAAUCAUGCUCCAUGGCCAUCCAGUAGUAACCUGCCCGUAGCAACUUUCUUGACAUAGUAUGCCCUGUAGCAUGGGUCCCGAAGGUACCGUCAUGUACAUCAUGCAUUAACUGCUCCGCCUCAUGUUCAUCAACACAUCUUAACAAUACCAUGUCAUAGUUCCUCUUGUACAAAAUAUCUCCAUCUAACAGGAAUCUACCGGCCAAUCUUCUCAAGGUCUUCUUGUCUUGUUUGGAAGCACUCGGCGGAUACUCACGGCUCAGCAAGAACUGUUUGAUGUCGUAGUACCAAGGUCUAUAGUCAACCACAUUUUCACCAGCUUGAUCGAUCACAUCCCCAAUAGCAAACACAUGUGAAGGUCUUUCAAGGCGUUGCACUUUGAUUAAUGGCACAUCAUUCCAAUGGUUUACUCGGAACAUGGAAGAUAGAGUAGCAAGAGCAUCAGCCAUUUGGUUCUCAUCACGAGGAAUAUGAUGCAGCUCAACCUUUGUAAAAUAUGUCAGAAGACGUCUCGCAUAAUCACGAUAAGGAAUCAACUUAGCAUGGUGGGUCUCCCAUUCACCCUUUAUCUGAUUGAUGACGAGCGCAGAAUCUCCAUAGAUGUCGAGGUGUUUGAUUCUCAUGUCAAUUGCUUCCUCGAUCCCGAAGAUACAUGCUUCAUACUCAGCCAUAUUGUUUGUACAUUCGAACAGAAUACGGGCGGUAAAAGGAAUAUGAUGCCCUUGCGGGGAUACAAUGACUGCCCCAAUUCCUUUGCCAUAAGCAUUGACAGCACCAUCAAAGACUAAACCCCACUUGCUAUUGGGAUCUGGACCUUCAUUAAUCAACGGUUCGUCGCAGUCUUUGGAUUUCAAAUACAUGAUCUCUUCAUCAGGGAAAUCGAAUUCAAUUGGUUGGUAAUCAUCAAGAGGUUGAUAAGCAAGGUGAUCGGCAAGAAUGCUGCCUUUGAUUGCCUUUUGAGUUUUGAACACAAUAUCAUAUUCAGACAAAAGCAUCUGCCAGCGUGCGAUCUUCCCAGUAACGGCCGCUUUCUCAAAGAUAUACUUUAUCGGAUCCAUUCUGGAUAUCAACCAAGUUGUAUGAUUCACCAAAUAAUGGCGCAGGCGUUUGGCAGCCCAAGCUAGAGCACAACAAGUCUUUUCAAGCAUUGUAUAUCGAGUUUCACAAUCGGUGAACUUCUUGCUUAGAUAGUAGAUAGCAUGCUCUUUCUUUCCGGUUUCAUCUUGUUGACCAAGUACACAUCCCAUGGAUUCAUCAAAUACUGCCAAAUACAUAAUCAAAGGCCUUCCUUCCACGGGUGGGACAAGGAUAGGUGGUUCCAGCAGGUAAUUCUUGAUGCUAUCAAAAGCUUCUUGGCAUUCAUCAUUCCAUACAACAGGCUGGUUCUUUCUAAGUAGCUUGAAGAUCGGCCCGCAGGUUGCAGUCAUGUGAGAUAUGAAUCGGGAGAUGUAAUUCAAACGUCCCAAGAAACCUCUGACUUGCUUCUCUGUCUGUGGAGCUGGCAUUUCUCGGAUGGCCCGGACUUUAUCAGGAUCGACUUCAAUGCCCUUUUGGCUGACAAUGAAGCCUAAUAACUUUCCGGACCUGACACCGAAUGUACAUUUGUUGGGAUUCAAUCGCAGCUUGUAUUUUCUCAACCUUUCAAACAUCUUUGUUAGAUAUUCAACAUGCUGCUCCUCAUCUGCUGACUUCACAAUCAUGUCAUCCACAUAUACCUCAACUUCUUUGUGAAUCAUGUCAUGAAACAGAGUGGUCAUUCCCCUUUGGUAGGUAGCACCAGCAUUGAUUAGGCCGAACGGCAUCACUUUGUAACAGAAAGUACCCCAUGGAGUGAUAAAAGAUGUCUUUUCUCUAUCUUCAGGAGACAUUUUGAUCUGAUUAUAACCGGAAAAACCGUCCAUGAAGGAGAACACCUUAGAUUGAGCAGUAUUAUCAACAAGCACGUCAAUAUGGGGUAACGGAAAGUUGUCUUUUGGACUGGCUUUGUUCAAGUCCCUGAAAUCAACACACAUCCGGACUUUACCAUCCUUCUUCGGCACAGGCACAAUAUUGGCAACCCAUUCGGGGUACUCAACUGUCAUGAGGAAACCCGCAUCAAUCUGCUUUUGAACUUCAUUCUUAAUCUUGAGGGCCAUAUCAGGAUGAGUCCUCCUCAAUUUCUGCCUGACGGGAGGACAUUCAGGCUUGGUAGGGAUCCGAUGCUCCACGAUCAUAGGGUCUAGACCUGGCAUAUCUUCAUAGGACCAUGCAAAAAUAUCCGGAUAUUCCCGGAGGAGUUGGAUGAUCUUCUGUUUAACCCCUUCCUCUAGAGUAGCACCAAUCUUGAUUUCUCGCUUGUUUUCUUCGGUACCUAUGUUGAUAAGCUCAAUCUCUUCUUGGUGAGGCUGAAUGGCUUUCUUUUCUUGCUCAAGUAACCGAGUGAUCUCAUACGGUAUGUCAUCACCUUCCUCAUCUUCGGCUUCAUAUACAGGGAAAUCAAAACUUGGAGGAACCGUAGGAUUACUGUGUUCAACGGGUUUAUUAUGGUUCAACCUGCAUAUAAUGAUUGGAUGAUUUUAGAAAUAGUUUUUUUUUCAUGCAGAUUUUUGAAAUUAAUAAGAAAAUACAGACGUUUUGGUUUUUUCUGGCAUUACCAUUGUUUCCAAGGGAAAAAGCACUUAAAAAAAGUAGUCGUGGAAGAAACGACAAAAUUUUAUUAAUCAACGGCAAUGCCGAAACAAACAUGCCCUUACAGAAAAUAUCACUCUCGCUUUGGGCAGAGCGAGAGGAUUGUUAUUUUGAAAACAAAGCACUAAAGCAACAAGACACAUUACUCAGAAACAUGCAUGAUUGAAGGAAUGUCAAUGGCAUCCCAAUUCGUCGCAAUGCCUCCUGGUGUAACAAAUAUAGGCCUGAGACCAGAUCCAGUGGCUUCUUCAGAGAUAGCAUUAACAAACCCUGCACUGUGGAAGACUCCCGAGGAAACCCUUGAUGACGGGGAGAACCCGAGACCUUCCUUUCGCUUGUUCUCACAGAGCUGUAUCAUCUUGCCCCAGCCGGCAGUCUGACCUUCUUGGAUGGCUCUCUGAGCAUCCUUCAAUGAAGCCAUAGCAGCCCCAGCUUCCUUAGACUCUGCACCUUCAAUGGUCAAACCUUGGAAAGCAGUCCCUUCAGCAGAUCCUGCUUCAAUACAAGAGAAGGAAGACAACUGGCUGACUAAGUAUGCUUCUUCACCAUGGAUUGUAACGAGUUUUCCAUUCUUCACAAAUUUCAACUUCUGAUGUAAGGUGGAAGUAACCGCACCUGCAUCGUGUAUCCACGGUCUUCCCAGCAGGCAACUGUAGGAUGCAUUAAUGUCCAUCACUUGGAAGGUAACCAAGAAAUUCUCAGGGCCAAUGGUUAUCGGCAAGUCUAUCUCCCCCAGCACGUUCUUUCGAGAUCCGUCAAAAGCUUUGACCAAGAAAGUACUUCUUCUCAAAGGGGUCCCACGGUAGCUCAACUGAUCUAGAGUUGUCUUGGGCAUUACAUUGAGAGAGGAACCGGUAUCCACCAACACAUUUGAUAUCAUGUCUGAUUUACAAUUCACCGAGAUGUGCAAAGCCAGAUUGUGACCCUUUCCCGCUUCCGGCAACUCUUCUUCACUAAACCAGAGGUUGUUACAAGCAGUAAUAUUUCCCACUAUGCCACCGAAACGAUCUACCGUAACUUCGUGGUCAACAUAUGCCUGCUCCAGCACUUUCAACAAGGUAUUCCUGUGAGCCUCAGAGCUCAAGAGUAAUGACAAGACAGAUAUCUUUGAAGGAGUCUGCAGCAACUGAUCAACGAUCUUGUAGUCGCUCCUCUUUAUUAUUCUCAGAAUCUCAUCUAAAUUUGAAUCCUCUAUAGAUUUGCCUGGCUGAUUCACAUCUGUAGCAAUGGGUGAAACAACGGUUGGAGUUGCUUCUUCAACUGGUGGAGUGAUUGGCGUAGCUACCUUCUUCUGAAAUAAUGGCGGACGAACCUUCCCGCUUCUUAGCGCUGCAGAAGUCCCUUCGGCAAUAUUGCUUACUGUGGCAAAGGAGGCUAGAGGUACCUCUACUCCAUUUUCUAUUAUAGUAGCAUUGUACUUAUAUGGCACUGCCUUGUCCGAAGCAUAAGGAAUUGGUCCUGGCAACCUUAUUACCAAAGGCUCAGCAUUCUUCUUCAAAGGUACACUCUUGACAGGCGGAUCGUGAAAAACUGGCACGACCACGCAAACAUCACUGACAGUCAGAAGAUUAUCGUUCAUCGAACUUUGGAUGUCGUCUUGAACAGCAUGGCAACCCAAAGGAUCACGGAGGCAUCCUAGACACUUGGCAUGAUCAUGGCUGAACAGAGAAGCUUUGCACAGCUUGAUAUGUAGAGGCACCAGAGGAGUGACAACAUUGCGGACAUCAAGUCUAGGAGCUUCCUCACACACUUCGAUCAUAUUCACAGCGGCAUGAUUUGGUAGCGGAUUGUCAAGGACAUGUGGAACAUUAUUCUCAAAAGUCAGCUUUCCCUGAUCAAUGAGCUUCUUCACGAUAUACUUCAAAGCAUAACACCCCUCGACAUCAUGACCUAAGGCACCUUGAUGAAAGUCACAUUUGAGAUCAGACCUGAACCUUGGAGGCAACGGAUCAGGUGGUGGCUUGCCCUGUCUAGUCGUACAAUGACCUCUCUGGAGUAAAGUCGGAAGAAGUUCUGCAUACAACAUCGGUAUAGGAGGAAAAGUUGGUCUAGUAUACUGCUGCUGCUGCUGUUGUUGUUGUUGUUGAACCGGCAACUGUUGUUUUAUCUGUUGGGCAAUUGCAUUGACGGGCACUUGAGGCUGGCCCGGUGGCAAAGGGUACUGAUGAUAAAACGGUGGGAAGAACGAAUGCUGAGAAUACGGCAUAUAUGGGUAUGACGGAGGCAUUUGAGCUGUAUUGAUAGGAGCAACGGUAGCUAUAGAUUGACCGGCUCCAGCUGACACCAUCCCCACUUCCGUUUCUUUCUUCUUGUGGUGUCCAUUACCAUAUCUCUUCGAUGCACCCACAGAGGAUUCAGCUUUCUCAAACACAAUGAUUCCAUCCCUGACUGCUUCCUCAAGACGGGUUCCCAUAGUGACCAUCUCCGAAAAGUUGUUCGGGGCAGCGAUGAUCAUCCUCUCAACAUAAUCUUUCUUCAAGGUCUUUAAGAAUGUCUGGGUCAUUUCUUCUUCAUCUAAAGCAGGAGUAAUACGGGCAGCUGCCCCUCUCCACCUUUGCGCAUAUUCACGGAAACUUUCCUCCUUUUUCUGAGAUAGGGACCUGAGAAACUCCCUAUUCGGCUUCAAUCGAGUGUUAAACCCGUAGUGGCUCCUGAAAGCGGUGGCCAGCUCAUCAAAAGUAUGGACAUCGUCUUUGCUCAGACUAGUAUACCACUCUGCAGCAUCCUCCAUCAGACUGUCUUGGAAGUAAUGGAUCAUAAGGGAAUCAUUGUCCUUGUAGUUGCCCAUUUUCCGGACGUAUUUGACAAUAUGAUUUUGAGGACAAGUCAGCCCGUUAUACUUGUCGAACUCCGGGACUUUGAACUUUUUUGGAACAUCUACCUUCGAUACUAAGCAGAGGUCCUGGGUUUUAAUGGAGUCUCCGUUUCCCCUGUUGGCCUUAAUUUCCCGUUGGAGCUCUUUGGCAAGUUCUUCCAUUCUCUCUUCCAUAGUUCCGGUUGUGGCAAUACUCCCGUGGUGCGCAUUAGCAUGGACAAAUAGAGGCACCGCAUUCACAAUGGGCUCGGUAACAGUUGUUGCAGCUUGAGUCAAGGCAGUACUAACAGGAGUUAAGUUUGCCCCUGGGAUUGGGCCAUUGUUGGUAGUACCAGAGGUCCCUGCCCCUGUAUUAGCAGUAUAGUACAGCGGAAGUCCGUAAGGAUACCCGGAUGGCAUGAUAGAGCGGGGAUCAGUUGUUACGGUAGGAGUCACAUUUGCAGCUGUAGAAACUACGGGAACUGGUUGUUCCUGAGCAGCCAACAGAGCAGUCAUAGCAUCAUGAGCUUUGGCCAAUUCCUCCCUUAAAGAUGCCAAUUCGGUACGGAGCUGUGUGUUCUCUUCUUCCAUAGCCCUUUUCUUUCUUCUGUAUUCUCUGGUUCGAUCAAUUCUAUCAGGUUCGUAAACUCUCUGAGCACGAGCCACUUUUCACACUAAGGCAGAGAAACCAGGAGGUGGUAAGCACUCGGAAGCCUUUGUGACCGAUGCAUGAUGCAUAUGAUGCAUGAUAUGCAAAUGCAAAUGCGAAAGACUUAUUUUUUUCAUCGAAGGAUUUUUAAACAAAUUGGAAAUUUUGCAAAUAAUCAAAACUACAUAGCAUUUUCAAAAGGAAGACUUUGAAAUUUCAACAAGAUAAACAAAUGAAGCCCUCAAGCAUAAGAAGUAGUCGGAAGAUCAUCGGACUCGGAAUCUGAAUCACAGUAUCUAUCAAAGAAGUCUCGUCGUCCUCGAGCUCUCUUGGAGUCCCUCAUAAGCAGCUCAUCUUUCUCUUCCAAUUCCUUCCGGGCCUUAGCUAACUCUUUCUUCAACAUUAGAUUCUCAUGAGUCUUCUGCUCAUCUCUACCAUCCAAAGUCAUGAUUAGAUUCUCGGCUUGAUUGUACCGAGCUUUCCACACUUGCUUCUCACGACUCUCCAUAGCUAGAUGCUCCUGAUACAUAUCCUAAGUCGCGGGGAGCAAAGGUAGAGGCAUAGACGGGGUAGACGAAGACACGUAUCUCAUAGCUGGAUAAGGCAUACCAAUCUCCUCAGCUCGAUCUAUCACCCACUGAGUAUAGGCCUCAUGAGCAACACCGGAUCUCACACCUAGAUGCUUCACACUCUUCCUUCGAACCUUGGACCAAGCAUCCAUGAAAGCUUUCCUUUGUCCAGUAGGAGCACUCGUGUAGAAGAAGAACUCUGGAGAUGUAGCAAGAUUGAUGGGCUUCGACUUCAUAGGGAAACCAAACUGUCUCAUAGCAAGCUCGGGAUUGUAGUUAAUUCCUCCCCGAGUACCAAGAAGAGGUACAUUGAGAAAGUCUCCACAACCCAUAAUGAUUUCCUUCACUUGAGCGGCAGGAGUGAGCCAGACGACCUCAUUAGGAGUGAGGGCCAUAAUCCGCUGAGAGUAGGACCAAUUUUCCGAGUUAUCAUGGAAGGAACUCGGAAGGUGCGAAAUAAACCACCUAUACAAAAGAGAUAUGCAGCAAAGAAUAUACCCACGGCCCUUGAGAGUCCUGUCAUGAAUGGCGUGGUAGGCAUCCGCUAGCAAAGUAGGAACCGGGUUCUUGGAAUGAAAGAUCUCGAUAGCAUUCAUGUCCACGAAGUUGUCGAGGUUUGGAAAGAGAAUGAGCCCGUAGAUAAGCAAAGCAAGAAUAGCCUCGAGUGUAUCCUGACGAGUAGUACUGAGAUUAGCCUGAUCAAGAAGAUACUUUGAAGUGAACCCCCGGAUGUGAGACUUGGUAAUAAGAUGGUUGGAGACGUCGGAAGUCUUGAGGUAGAGAUCCUUAGCAAUAACCAGAGGAGUAAGAGAAGUCCCGGGACCGGUGAAAGGCGUCUUCUCGGCUAUAGGUAAACCCACUAGAUUGGAGUAAGCCUCGAGAGUAGGAACCAACUGGAAGUCCGGGAAGGUGAAGCAACGGAAGCUUGGAUCAUAAAAUUGCACUAGAGUGUGCACUAGCUUCUCGUCCACAUCGGUUCGGAGCAAAGUAAGCAAUCCCCCAUACCGGAGUCGGAACCCUGUUUGACUCUUGACCUUGAGUGCCAACUCUCUUAAACUGACCAAAUCCACUUCCUUGAACUUGUAGCACUUAGUCUUCUUCAUACCUGUGAUUAUUUACAAAAUAUUCCAUUUGUUUAGGCCCUUCGAUGAAUGCAUGAAAAAUGUUUAUGCAUGAAUGCAUGUAUGCAUGAUUGUGUUGUUUAGUUACAAAGAACAAGAUGGGUUGAGAUUCAAAGUAACAGGGCUACGGCUGGACACGGCGUCCGGUGAACUAAGGCUUUGGAUAGUAGUAACCAAGGUUCUAACACAGUUCCCAAACUGCAACCUCUCUCACAUAUAUCAUGGUAGUACAGGACGACACCCGUUCCAUGAUUAUUUGUGAGAAGGUCUAGUUUGAGUGUAGUAUCGCGUGACGACUAAAGUUUGAGACAACACUCAAUUUAGCCACCGCACUACGUCCUAAAAAGGCUAGGAUGGGUUUGGUAACUACGGUUCAUAGCUUCGUCGAACAAUUGAAAGUGAAGUGCCUAAGCAUGACAACACACGCCGACAAUAUCACCUUCAAAAUGCCUCAGCUAUGUGAGAUUGAUCGCAUAAUCCAAUACACGAGGCAACCCCCGGAUCGAAUUGUCGAUUAUAUCUCUACCUAAACAUAAGUUCACUCAGCCCGGGUAUAGGACUUUUGAUAUUCUCACCCCCCCCGUCAAAUGAAAGUAAACAAGUAUUCACAUAUGUAAGCAAUAAAACAAAGCGUAAAUAAACUAAGGAAAACUAGGCGUGACCCGCUAAAAAAAUCCCCAGUGAAGUCGCCAUUUCUGUUAUCAUGGUUUUUGGGUGCCAAGCCAUUAAUUAGACUUGUACCUUUCGACCGUUGAUAUCUCUAUUUUUUCUUGGGAAGGGCAAAAUUGAGAAAAAACCCUUAGAUUCUAAGUUCGGGGGCCGGUUUUACUACGGGAAGGUGUUAGGCACCCGGAGUAACUAUAGUCCUCUAUAGGAGCCGUUUUCCUAAGUCUAUAUUCACGCUUAUUUUUACUUACUUUUGAAAAUGGGAGGUUUAUUUAGUUAAGAAUGGGGGGGAGAGAUUGUAAGACUUUGAUUUUAUUUCGGCUUGGAUGAGUUUUGACUCAUUGCCUACGUACCGUUUUACAGGAUCAAAACCGGCGUAGUUCUUGCUAAAAAGACUUGUUUUUCUUUUGUUUUAAUUGUUUGAUUUUAAGUUUUGAAAAAAAGGUUUUGAAGAAGGAGAUUGGGAGGCUUCAUGAGCAUUAGAUUUUAGCAAAAGGUGAAGUUUGAUUAGUGAUUAGAAAAAAAGUCUAAAUGAUUAAGAUGAAUUGAAUUUUCCUUAAGAGAAAAAAAAAAAGAAAGGAAAAAAAAAAAUGAAGUGUUGACUUCAUACUUAUUAUGAAAAUUUUUGAAGUGAAGUUCAAUUGUUUUUUUUGGAAAAAAGAUGGAUUUUCUCUAAGUGUUUAAAACCUAAACGCUUAUUUAACCAUACAAUCCUAUGCAUACAUCUAAGGUGAGUGUGUGCGUGUCGGUGCAUCAUAGUGUCCAUAGUCCAUAUUACAAAAAUUGCCUAAAUACAUUCUAUGGCCCCUUUGCCAAGCUACAAACCAAUGAUAACAAAUUACAUUACCAAAUGAAUUAAAACUUGCAAAAGAUAAAGGCUAGGCUAAAGAAAGUGGAGGGAAUGCUAAAUGGGAUGCAUGAAACAUGGAAAUAAACUUGUUAGUGAAAAGAAAAAACAUAACAAGUACUAAGAAAUAAAAGCAUGCAAGAUGGCACAAAAAGUUAACAAAAUGACAUUAAACCCUAAAAACUUAGGUAUGAAACCUAAAGCAUUCUUGGCCUCUAAUUCUCAUGCUUUAACAAAUUUUGAAAGAGUUUUCUUUAUCUCAAGUUAUAGCAUAGAAUUAUUGGAAACAUGCAAACAUGGUUUCAUGCCACAUUUUCUAGAAUAAACUUGGCAUUUUAUAUCUUUCAAAAUAUGCAUAUAUUGUUCAUAAAAUCAAGCACUCAUGAACCAAAUCAAAACAGCAAAUCAACAUGAAAUUAUUGGCACAAAUCUCUCAUAUUAACACGUCAAGUAGCUUUUAUUUCAUAUUCUCACAUCAAGGACAAAUGUGUGAAGAAGAAUCCAUAACAAAUAAUUCAAAGAGAAUUAAAAUGCUAUGAAUUAAUUAUACAAAAAUUUCAUAGAUCCUUAAUGUUCAAAAAUGUCAUAAAAACACUAAGAAAAUAUCAAGAAACAUGUGAUAAUUUUUUGGAGGUUUUUUGGAGAAAAUUUUAAGCAUGCAGGGGUUCAAACAGCAAAGAAAUAUGGUGCAAAUAGCAGGAAAACAAACAAAAACGUAAAAGAACAAAGCCCAAACCAAAGGCCCAAUACACUAGAAGAUCCGGUUGCACAGGAACCAUACGAUUGAUCCAGGAUUCUGAAACCCUAGAUCAGACGGCCAGGAAUCAAAGGGGGAAUGGACCGGACUGGACCGGUCCGGUUCGCUGGCUUAUAAAAAGGAAGGAGCUCCGGUUUAUUUCAUUUUGCUGCUCUCAUUCUCUCUCUAACUCUUCUCUCUUCUCUCAUCUCUCAUCUCUCACUAACUUCGCCGCCGGCGAGGAUGAAGCUACGGCGGAGACCUUGAAGGUCCGCCGGAAACUUCAUCUUCUCCGGCGAGUUCAUGCAGUUUCCGGUGACCUAAAUUUCCAGAUUUCAAAGAUUCUUACUCCAUUUGAUUCGUCCUUUAACCCUAAACACGAAUCCAGCAGUUGUUUUUUCAAAUUCAAGUCGAAACGAUGUAGAUCUGGAAAUUUGCCGUACGGCUUUGAAUUUGAUUUUGAUUUUUUGAAAGAUAACGUUUAGAUCCUUGAAGAUCUACAUCAUUUCGUUGUUUAACACCUCUUUGAUGUUUGUUCUUGCUUUCAAAACUUAGAUCCUUAUGGAUCUAGGUUUUGUGUUUACGGUUACGGUUUUGGCUUUGAAUUCUGGAAAUUUGGAUCUGUUUUGCUUGCGUGAUUUUUAGGUUUAACAGUGAUAUUGCUUUUGAAAAAGAUUAUGAGUUUUACCUAAGGUUUUGGUUGAAACCUUUAAUGGAGAAAUUCUUUGGAAAACUUCAAUCUCUGAUGCUACGUGAUUUGGCUUUGAAUCCGGAAAUAAACCGGUGUUCCUGCUGGUUUCUUGCUUUAUCGUCUUCUUCGCCGGUUUAAACCUUCAUUAUCUUUCUUUCUUCUUCGUCUUCCUCACUGUAUCUUCGUGAUCGGUGCUGGAGUUUGCCUUUGGCGAAUUCGCACCUUGAAUUGCGAAGAUACUGAUUCAAUGAUGAUGAUUCUUCAAAGAAUCACUGAGAAUCCAUGAAAAAUAGCUUGAAUUUGUGUAGUUUCUGUUUCUGGAAAAGGUUAGGUUUACGCCAUUGAUGAAUGUUGAAGCUUUUUCUGUUUUGAUUUGUAACUGACAAGAGAGAGUGUGACUCUGUGUUUAUGAGUUGGCACCUGAUGAAUGGCUUUGAGUGGCACUGUGCACCUUUUAUAGCAUGACAUGUGUGCCUCUGAACAAAUGAGAAAGUGACACCUGGACCUGGAAAAAAAAAUGACACGGCCUUGGACAAAAAAUCAAAUUUGGACCUUCUUGCAAAAAACAAAACUUAAGGACUAAACUGCAAUUGACCAAAAAAGGACUAAAAUGAAAAUUGGAAGAGAAACUGGACUGAAAUGUAAUUUUGGGACCUCAAUUGAGGGACCAAAAUGUAAUAAAAAAUAAAAUUGAAUAAAACGUAAUUUGACCAAACGUAAAGCGAAACAAAAAUAAAAUUGACAAAACGGACUAAAACGAACCAAUGGCCUAAAUGAGGUACUUCAAAGUAACCUCCCCAUGCCAAAAUUUUAUGCGAAAUGACCAAAAUGCCCCUAGGGCUAAAAAUGACCUAAACAGAGCCAAAAUGACUCGACACUGACUCAGAUGCAAGUUUGAAAUGAAAUUAGCAAGGUUUACUGAUGGAAAGUUAAAAAUGAAUUUGAAAAGACCCAGAGACAGUCACAAGGAUGAAAAUGGGUCCCACUGCAGGAAAUGACCAAAAUACCCUUCUGUAUGACUUUUUUUGCAAAUUUUGAAAUAAACUGUAGAAAAAGCAAUGUAAUGAUUCAGAGACACUUUUGAAUGACUUACAAGACAAGUAAAGACAUUUCGAAAGGUUUUAUGCAAGAAAAACAUAGGUAAAAUUGUGAUUGAAAAUACUGCGAGGCAGAGACAAUUUGAACUGUGCAGUUGAAAUUUGAUAAUUGACAAAGUUUAAAAAUGAAAUUGGGCCCAGUAUUUUUAGGUCCAAAAACAGGGUAUAACAAGGAUGAAGUAAAUGAACAAUGUCAGCUUAUAAUUCUGUAGUGUCAUUUUUUCUAUUUAUAAUGAGUUUUUACUACUAUUAUUAUUUGUAAUAAAUCUUUUCUAAAAAACUUUGUAUAAUUUACUUUAUUUAUGAAUUACAAUAUUUACUAUUUUUUGGGUGUUUUUAUUUUAUAUGAAGGAAUCAUUAGAAAUAGACAUGUAGUUAUUAUUUGGUUGUGGGUUUGUUUGGUCACUCAACUUUGUUCGCAUGAAUUUUGAUCUUAAUCUCGAUGCUAUCGAGUCACCUUUAAAAUGAGAAACCUAAUCAACAAUAUUUGUAGGUGGUUUUGUCAACGUUAUUUUACCAUGCAAUUUUUUUUUUCUCCUAUGAAGAAGACUCUAUUUACAUGUUUAUCUAAUCUCACUAAAACAAUAUUGAAGCCCAUUGCAUAAAAUAUUAACUUCUUUUUUCCAAUUCUCACUUGAUGGUUACAUGUGGCGUUAAGAUUGAUACGAUAAUUUUAUCUUGAAUCACAUUCAAACAGAUGGGUCUAAAGACCACGUUGUUUUCAAUUUUUUUGUUGCCAAGAAUACUAUUGAGGAGGUCAUUAUGAACACGGAAGCACCCUACUCCAUAAAUCUAAUGUAUGGCAUCCUUACGGUGGCUUCAUUCCUUCUAAGUGACUUCAUUCCUUCUAAUGAGUGGUGAGAUAUAGUAUAUUGUCAUAAUAAGAUCGAACAUAUGGAAGUGACUUUCAGAUUGUGACUUGGCUUGCACGUUACGCACAUUUAAACAGACAAAGAUGAAGACAUCUUCAAUCAUUUUUAUUGUAAAAAACUAUACACACAUACUCUUUAGAUAUUAUUUGAUCAUUUGUAUCGUGUUAUUCUAGUUGGAAUGAUUUAUAUAAUCGGUUAUAUGCCAGUGUUGGAUGCAUAUCAUGUUUGACACUAACAAAAUAUGUAUUUUGCGUAUUUUGCUAGUGAAUUGAUGAGUAAUUUUCUUUUUCAAAUGACGAGGUGAUGAUAUGGGGUGCUACGUGUAUGAGAAUAUGAGAUUCUACAAGUGGAUGGAUGUAUAUGACUUAUGACUUGUUUUACUUUUUGAAAAAGAAUAUGGAUUUUGAAUAAUUUAGAUUGUAUUGGGUAGUUUGCAUAUGGUAUUUGUGUAGUUUGGAUGUGUACACCAAAUUACUUGUUCUAGAAAAUGAGUGAAAUAUUACGUUUGAAUCUUAAUAAUAUACAAAUGUGAAGCUACAAAUAGGAAAAAAAUUUUGCCCCAAUCCAAUGUGUCAAAAUUCUAAGCCUCCUACAAUAAAUCAUCAUAUUUUAUAAUCUCAUUUUACCAUCACUUAUAGUAAUAGGGACAACAAAACCAUAACAAUUUCAAAUUUACACAAUAAAAAUAACAUCAAAAUUCAUUUUAGUUCAUAAAAAAUUGAAUGUGUUAAUUUCCCUCUAAGAAAUGUCAUUUUCAAGUGUGUUAUUAAGAAAAAAACAAAUGUUCAAUUUGAAAUGAGGCCCAACUAUGCUAAGCCCAGCACUCAAACUCUCCUCAUUUUCAGAAUCAUUCAAUGCAAAGCAACAGAAAGGGAAAGCUUUCCCUGCCAUCACUGUUUUCACGUUGGAAAAUCUCUCUUUCACGUUGGAGUGGACUUGAGAGAUUUGUUUGUUUGUUUGUUUGAUGAAUUUUCCAUAAAUAUACUUAGGCUACUGCAACUAUUCCAUCAAAUUUAGUACUUAUAUUUUCUUCAUUUUUCUUUUGCUUUAUAGCUCUACCUUGCCACCAUUUUGAGAAGAGUAAUCUGAAAUUGAGAAGAGGAAAGUAAAGGUUGACAUUAAUGUGCUUUGUUUUCAACCUCAUUGGCCUUUCUUUACACAAUGUGAGUGGAUAUCUUCCUAUAAACUUUUAAAUUUUAUUUUUCAUUAGAGGCUCUUCCUAUCCUAAGUUUUUAUUGAAUGUUUUUCAUUUUGUAUUUCUCUCUGUUUCAUUGAUUUCAUGAACAGCUCCACUGCGUCGGAGCAAUCGACACCAUCUCUUUGAAACUGUUUCCCCAUCAUCAUGAGUAAGUAUUCAUCCUUCAUAUUUUGUGCUCAAGUUCUUUAUCUGAUUUGUUGUGUUUUUUUCUUAGAAGUUGUGAAGUUGUUUGUUGUAUCAACUAGAAACAUUUAUCAGUUUUGAUAUAAUGUAACUAAAUUUUGUGAUUGAAAAUAGAAAUUGAAAUUCCAUUUGUGCUAAAGUUCUUUAUCUGGUUUGUAAUCUUGGGAUAUAACUACAGAAACAUUUGGAAUUUUUUGAUUUUUUCUUGAUAAUUUGGAUUGAUUUCUUUUGAUUGUUUAUGGAAGUUUUUGUUUGAGCAUGACAUGUGGCUUCUGUCACGAUUUUGGAGCAUCUGCAAGUUAACAUAUAGAUUUAUACUGAGGGCCUCUGUAAAUUGUAAGUCUUUUGAUUACUUUGUGUCUGUUUCGAGUUCUAAUUGUCAAUGUUAUAACUUAUAGGUUCAUUUAUCUAUUGAAGCAUCUUAGGCAUGUUUUGAUGUCCUUGUUUUUUGGCUGUUUCGGUUCUAUGAACUAAGGAAAGAUCCUAUCUGUAGUUCUCAUUAAGCCUUUAUUGCAACUCAUGUGAUGGAUAUGUAUACUUCAUUAUACCUUCGGAGUCACUAGAGCAACUUAAAUAUAGAUAUUUUGUUGUAUCCCUAGAGCAAUUAAAAGUAUCAUCUUGCUUAUUUGCUAUGAUCAAUGAAAUAUAUUAGCAUGAUACGUACAAGUAAUUAGAUACUUUUAGUAGAUCAUCGUCAUUUUUAAACUUAAAAUUAGAUUGAUGGGAUAGAACAAAAUAACUAUUGGUUUGUGGACAAUCAACCCAUGGGGAUCAAUGGAAGGUUACAAAGCUGAAACAGUAUGUAAGGGUGGAUUUGAGUUCACUAUGAUACGAAAUUGCAACUGUUAUGAUGGGGUACAUGAAUAAGAACCGGUUUUCUUACAUGCAACUGCAACUGUUAUUUUUUUUAGUCUGAAUAUGUCCUUUGCAAUCUUUUUUAGUGAAGUCUUAUAUAAAUCGGGACAUUAGAUACACUUUGUUUAUGGUCAAAUAUGUACAGGCAUACUUAAUUUGAUGUUAGGGUUGUGAAAAGAUUUGAUAGACUGUAAUGUUGGCAUUUACUAUUAGUAGGAUGUUUAAUUUAUUUAUUUUGGACAAAAUUAAUGGUUGUAUAAUGUUGGCACUUGCCAAAUAGUUAUUUGUCGAAUAUUUAAGAAUUGAAUUCAACCUAUCAAAUAACAAAUGAUAACACAUUUUCGAUGACUAAGUUUUCUUUUCCAAUCACGUUAAUAAUUAAUAUUCUUUUUAGACAAUUAUUCAUUAUAUUAGUAUAAAAUUAUUUGAGUAAAGUUUUAUCACCCGUGCUGUUUUAUAUCAUGAUACAAAUAAUUCAUGAUAUGGUUGUAUCAGUUCCUAAAUAUCGGAACAAUUUAAUUUUUGAAUUGACUGCACCGUAACUAUAAUUUCAUAGUAUUGAAGCACUUUGAAACACUGCAGUUUUAAAACUAUUGUGCCCAAACAUGUGCAGGAUUGAUGGCUCCUAUCUCCAGUUAGUGAGAAAUUGGUUUUGAAGUUUGUAGGGUUGAUGGUUAGUGAGACUGGAGGAUAUAAAACAACAUGUUUGUACCGAUGGUUGAUGCUUUCAUGUCUUACUUCAAUAGGGGUAGGACAUUACUUUAAUAACCAAGUAUAUGGAUUUAAAUGGAGUUGUAUGGUUCAUAUUAACUACAAAGACUAUGAUUCAAAUCUGGGAGACUAUAUGUAUUAGAUUUAAUAUCAAAGUCUUAUAUUCCUCAAACAUGGGGCUAUAGAUAUUUAAUUUAUGUUUCUAUUGAUAAUGAAGGUACAAUCAUGUUGAUUUUAACAUUUGUAUUCAAUAUAUUGGAUAUAUUUUUAUUCAUUUAAAUUAUUGAUGAAAUAUAUUAUAUAUAUUAAGUUUUAUACAUUAUGCAUUGAGAAUCAACAUUUGCUUAUUACAAUAAGACAAAUUUUUGUGAUGACAACAACAUUUGAUUUGUCUAAGAAGUGCAUUAUAUGUUUUUAUUUUGAUUGUACGUUCAGAGUAAUAUUUUUUUAACGCCACAAUAAAUCCUUUUUCGCCCGUGCGUUGCACGGGUGGAAAUACUAGUAUACAACAGUUGAGUGGAAUAAAAUGAAAUGCAAUUGGUGUGUAUGUACAAUUUUGAUGGUAAGGAUGAAUGGUUAUUUAAUAUGUUGAGGUGAAAGUUUGAAUACGUAAUGUUUUAUUUCUGUUGAUUUUACUUUACAUUUAUUGUUAUAUUUUUAUAUUUGAAUAUAAAUACAAGAUUGACACUUUUAUAUAUAUAUAUAUAUAUAUAUAUAUAUAUAUAUAUAUAUAUAUAUAUAUUAUUUUUGAGAGAAACAUCUAUAUUAUUGUUAAAUUUCACAAAAUAAUUCAUCAAUUUGCUUGCCUGGUUUAACAACAAUCGGAAAUAUUAUUUGCGAGUAUCUAAUAGGUUCAAAUCCAAUUGAUAUCCCUAGUUAAAAAGGAAUUUAGAAGUGAACUUUAGACCAUUUCAAUGAUUACUCUUUUGGCUUUUCUUUGCUUGUAAUGAGAGUAACAUCACCUUUUCUUCAAACUAUUUGAUCUUCACAUAAAGCCUCUACCACCUCCACAUAUAGUAUGUGUUACUGAAUUUAGAAGCAAAUCAUGCUUUAUACACCUUCAUACCAUAGAAGCCCUCGUCAUCGAAAGCGGGAAGAAAUGAAGGGUGUUUGAUGUAGAGUUUUUAUUUUUUAUAAGCUUGGAUGGAUCAACUCCAUUGGUAUGAGUUUGAGCUAGAAGAAUAAAAUCAUUUGCAUAAUUUAGAAAUUAAUCCCAUAAAUUAUAACCACAUACAUAUUUAGCAAAUCAACAUUCUUUUAUCCCUGUUUGCCAAUUUUCUAUAUUUUUUAUUGAAAAAUAAAAGUUUAGGUGAGUUGUGUCUCGGUCUGAAAGCCAUUUACUAAAUAUGUUAUAGUUAAACUAUCCGCCAAAAGGGAAGGUUAUGUUAAAAUUGUAUCUUUGUUUGUUAUAAUUAGAUAGCUUGGAGAACAAGUUACUUUGCAACUCCAUAGAAUCUUACUAUACACUAGCUGCAUCUAAUCUUAAUUCACUAGAAAGUUUGUUAGGAUCUUAAACAGCUAUAUAUAGCUUGCUGUAACCGUUUUCUUCUCAAUUCUAUGAAUCUAGCUUUUAUCUCAAUUUUCUCUCCUUCUUCUUUGUUAAGCUUCUGCAUUUCUUCAACUUUCACCAUGGAUAUGGUGAAGUUUAACAUGGUAUCAGAGCUCUUUUGAGCUCUGCUGCGCAUCGUUCUUCCUUCGUUUCUUCUUCUUCUUCGUUUUACGAUGGUUCGUGGAAACGCCGCCACUAACGGUGGUGCAAAUGGAGGAGCUAUGAUUCCUCCACCUCUUGAUCCUUCGCAACAACCUGGUAACGUGUAUUACGUUCAUUCUUCCGAUGGUCCUUCCUCUGUCAUUGUUACUCCGGUAUUGAACAACUCAAAUUAUCACUCUUGGGCGCGUUCAAUGAGAAGAGCUUUAGGAGGAAAGAACAAGUUUGAUUUUGUGGAUGGAUCAAUUCCAGUUCCUAUGGAAUUUGAUCCAAGUUUCAAAGCAUGGAAUCGUUGUAACAUGCUUGUGCAUUCAUGGAUCAUGAAUUCUGUUGAAGAUUCUAUUGCACAGAGUAUUGUGUUUCUUGAGAACGCCAUGGAUGUAACACCCCGUUUUCCCAAUAUACAAAUUUCUUAAACAUUUAUCAGAGUAAAAACCAUAAACGGGAUAUCACAUAGAAACGUAAUCCAAAAGCAGUUAAAUAAUAAUUUAACUUCCACAUAAUAUCUUAAUAUAGCAGCGGAAUAUUAGUUCAGAAGUCAUAAAUCAAUUUGGCACGCAGGCCCCAACAAAGUAUCUCAAAAGAGUUAAUCAAAACAGAAAUUAUCAUAGCAGUUCACGUAAAAGAAUGAAGCAUGUUAUAGCAUAUAACCCCAUCCCGUUAUGUAUCAGAGCGACCUAGACAACACAGUGAAGGCAAGGCCAACUCACGAAAGCAAACUGCACACUAAGCACGAUCACCUGCAAGUUACCCAUACGAAGGGCAACAUUUUCAAGCAGAAGGGGUGAGAUUUCAUAAUCAAAUAACAUUAAUCAAUGUAAUUGCGAAUCAUAAAUUAACAUCAUAAUCAUUCCUUAAAUAACAUUGCAUAAUUGCUAAACAGUUAUAACAUAAUCAUAUAUCCAAUUAUCAUGAACAACAUAACAUAUUCGAUAACCACUUAUCACAUAAUCACGUAAUCAAUCAUUAUCAACAAGGCAUCUUAAUCAUGACAAUGCGACAAUGCUCUUAGACUCCUUAUAUGCAUGUGGUACCAAUCGUCAUCAUAAGUAUUAAUAUACUUUAAUCGUGCGGAGGACAAAGCUCCUAUAAAACGUGCGGGGGACAAAGCUCCUAAUAUUCGUGGUGAGGACUAAGCUCAAUGAGAUGCUAUGCAUGGACACUUAUGAACAAAACAUCGUAAUCAACAUAUCAACAUGCAUCCAAUAAUUUGGAGCUAACUUCAUCAUAUACUUAUACACUUAGUUAAAUAACGGAAGCAGCAUAAACAGGUCACAUAAACGAGAUGAUAUUAUUAUAUCAAUAGCACAUAAAUUGCAUCAUUAUCAAGCUUUCAUAUCUUGCAUGAAUAUACAAUACAUUAGUUCAUGUCCAAUUAAUAUCAACAUAACUUAAACAACUCUACAGACUGCAUUAAACGUCAUCAUUAGGUCUUAAUGCCAAUUAGGGGUUCGCUCUUGAUCCACACGUGCGACACAGAUCGUACAAACACUCAAACAAACUACAUCCUGGGCUAGCUCGCGAGACGAAAGUUCUCACUCGCCAUGGCGAGUACCACUCAUCUCCCAAACUAAUGUUGUUCUGGGUUCCCUCUGAUCCUACAUUCAUUCCCAAUCAAUACUAGGUAUGUUCAGGCACUCAAAGGCACUCAAGGUCCAACUAAAAAGGUCGGAACACAAAAUCUAACAUGCACUCUGCCUAAGCUCGCGAGGCGAGGAAGGGUUGCUCGCAAUGGCGAGCUGCAUCACACAACUCGCGAGGCGAAGGGCGUUGCUCGCCAUGGCGAGUUGCACCAAAAAACUCGCGAGGCGAAGGGAAAGGGCUCGCGUGGCGAGCGAUGAAGUUCAUCACUCGCGAGGCGAGGAUCAUCCCUCGUCGUGGCGAGCGAUGAAUAGAAGCACGGGCAGACUACGGGUUUUCUCGAAAAUCCAACAAACAACAUGGUUCAAAGCCUAAUUUUGAUUCCAUAAUCCAUCCUAAACAUGUUCUAAGGUUAAAGGACGGUUUCUACAUCAAUCUAAACAAGUUUUACCGUUUGAUCAUCAAUUUUUAGGGUUUUGACCUAAUUUCCAAACUUUUCUAAAUCAAUCCUAACUUUGUCAUUUAAUCAUCAGAAUUACAGCAAUCAACGUUAUUGAAUUAUUAGUCUCACCCUUACCUUGUUUGAAGAAAAUCGCAGCACUCUUCCUUGGUUUCUCUAGACUUGGCUUUUUCUCCCUUUUUCUCCAAAACAGUCGUACGUACAAUGUUUUUCUAAAACUAGGUCUAACCUUUAUAUACCUCUUCUUAAUUACUUAUUUUAUCUCACUUUCUCCCCCAAAACUAUCUAAAAUAUCAAAACAGCCCUCAACUAAAUAUUUUAUAUUAUUUUCAAAUCUUUAUUUUAUUUAACAAUAAAAUAAAUCCCUUAAUCUUAUCAAAUCUUCCAAAACUCAUAACUUAUCACGUCAUCCAUCAAAUCACCAAAAUCAUCGCAAAUCAUCAAAACAUAUCAAAAUCAUGCAUAUAUUAUAUAAAUAUAAUAUAAUCGCCUAAACUCGAUUAAAUAAGCAAUUAACAAAAGUGGGCGUUACAAUGCAUGUUUGGAAUGAACUCAAGGAACGGUUUUCUCAAGGUGAUUACAUUCGUAUUUCUGAAUUACAAUGCGAAAUCUUUGGAUUGAAGCAAGAUUCGCGUUCAGUUUCUGAGUUUUUCACUACAUUGAAGGUUCUAUGGGAAGAACUUGAAGCAUAUCUUCCCACUCCGGUUUGUGCUUGUCCCCAUCGUUGUACGUGUAAUACUGGUGUGCUUAAUGCUAAGCAUCAGCAUGAGAUUACACGCUCUAUCAGAUUCCUCACUGGUCUCAAUGAUCAAUUUGAUCUUGUACGUUCUCAAAUCUUGUUGAUGAACCCUUUACCAACUCUCAACAAGAUUUUUUCAAUGGUAUUGCAGCAUGAAAGACAAUUUAGAGUUUCUAUUCCUGUUGAUGAGUCAAAAAUCCUUAUCAAUUCAGUGAAUAAGUUUCAAGGGCGAGGACGUGGUAAUGGAAGUACUUCUGGUGGUGCAAAGCGUUCUUGUUCCUUUUGUGGACGAAGUAAUCAUACUGUUGAUACUUGCUAUAAGAAGCAUGGUUUCCCUCCAAAUUAUGGUAAGAAUUUUGCUAAUGCUAACAAUUCCUCCCUUGAGAUGCAUGAAGAAAGGGAGGAUCUUGAUGAUUCAAAAAGCUGCAAAGGAAGUGAUUCUUUUAGCAUGACAAAAGAGCAAUAUGAACAUCUGGUUAAUCUUCUUCAAACUCAACAAAGUUCUUCUAGGAGCAAGGUGAACCAUGUCACUAAUCAUGUGACAUCAGGUAUAUCCACACUUUCAUAUGCUCUGAAUCACUGCAGUUUUGGUUCAUGGAUAGUUGAUUCAGGAGCAAGUGAUCAUAUAUGCUCAUCUAUUAAAGCUUUUGAUUCCUAUCAAUCUAUUAAACCUGUUCAUAUUAAGUUACCAAAUGGUAACAUAACUAUAGCAAAAAUCUCUGGCACAGUGCAAUUCUCUUCAGGACUUGUUGCCAAAAAUGUGUUAUAUGUUGCAGACUUCAAAUUAAAUCUUUUGACUGUACCCAAACUAUGUGUUGAUGAUGAUUGCAUAGUAACUUUUGAUAAUGAUAAAUGUUUAAUACAGGAAAGGAGGAACUUGAAGAUGACUGGUUUGGCUGAUUUGAUAGAGGGAUUGUAUUUUCUGACCACUCAAGCUUCCCCAUCAACCAAACCUCAAUUUGUCAUAGCUUCUAUCAACUCUCAAAGUUCUUCUUUUCUACCUCAAGAAGCCUUAUGGCAUUUUAGAUUAGGUCAUUUGUCCAAUCAUAGAAUGCUUAGCUUAAAACAGUCUUUUCCUUGUAUUAAGAUUGAUGACAAUUCAGUUUGUGAUAUAUGUCAUUACUCUAGACAUAAGAAAGUACCUUUUCAUCUCAGUGUAAAUAAAGCAAACAAAUGCUAUGAAAUGUUUCAUUUUGAUAUAUGGGGUCUUGUUUCUAUUCCUUCUAUUCAUGGUCACAAAUAUUUCAUUACUGCUCUUGAUGAUCACAGUCGUUUUACUUGGAUCAUCCUAUGUAAAUCAAAAUUUGAAGUUCAAAAACAUGUUCAAAAUUUCAUUAUCAUGAUAGAAAAUUAGUUUAGUUGUCAUGUUAAAACUGUUAGGACGGAUAAUGGUCCUGAAUUUCUUAUGUCAGAAUUCUAUUCUUCUAAAGGCAUUGAGCAUCAAACAAGUUGUGUUGAGACUCCCCAACAAAAUGGGAGAGUAGAAAGAAAACAUCAACACAUCUUGAAUGUAGCUAGAGCUUUACUUUUCCAAUCAAAAUUACCUAAACAGUUCUGGUCUUAUUCAGUUUUGCAUGCAGUUUACAUAAUCAAUAGAAUUCCUACUCCUCUGCUGCAAAACAAAUCCCCUUAUUUUCUCAGAUUUGGUAAUAAUUGUGAUUUAAAUGAUUUCAAAGUCUUUGGUUGUCUUUGUUAUGCCUCUACCUUACAUAAUCAUAGAACAAAAUUUGACUCUAGAGCCAAAAAGUCUCUUUUCUUAGGAUACAAGCAAGGUGUUAAAGGAGCUAUUCUUUUUGAUCUUGACACCAAAAUCAUUUUUGUGUCCAGACAUGUAACCUAUCAUGAACAUAUUCUUCCUUACUCUAAUUCAAAUCAACCUUUUCAAUGGCAGUACCAUUCAAAUCAACCUAUAUCUUCUGCCAUUGAACCUAUCACCAAUCUCAACACUAAUCAAAAUGAAUCCACUGUAACCAAAGCCAUUAACCCUGAAGAUUCUGAAACUGAGAUAUCUUCCAACAUUGAACUUGAUGAUCACAUUCAACCACAUUCACAAACUUUACCUGAACCAGAUUAUUUAUCUCUUAGAAAAUCAACCAGAAUUAUACAAAAACCAACCUAUCUGUCAGACUAUGUAUGCAAUCUCUCUAAAGAAUCAGACAAUUCAUCAUCUUCAGGUAUACUUUAUCCUAUCACUCAUUUUCAUUCACUCAAUAGUUUAUCCCCAAACAUCAGAAGUUUGCUCUAGCUGUUACUAAUGCUGCUGAACCUACAAGUUACAAUGAAGCAAGCAAGCAAGAGUGUUGGGUUAAGGCUAUGGAAUCUGAACUUGAUGCUUUGAAACACAAUAAAACUUGGAUUUUUGUGGAUUCACCACCCAAUGUCAAACCUAUUGGUAGUAAAUGGGUGUAUAAAAUCAAACAUAAGGCAGAUGGGAGCAUAGAGAGGUACAUGGCCAGACUGGUGGCUAAAGGCUAUAAUCAAGUUGAAGGCAUUGAUUUUUUUGACACUUUUUCACCAGUAGCCAAAAUUACUACUGUCAGAACUCUCCUUGCCUUAGCAUCAAUCAACUCAUGGCAUCUACACCAAUUAGAUGUGAACAAUGCUUUUCUCCAUGGAGAUUUAUCUGAAGACGUUUACAUGACUAUUCCUCAAGGUGUUGUCAACAUAAAACCAAAUCAAGUGUGUAAAUUGUUGAAGUCUCUUUAUGGUUUAAAGCAAGCCAGCAGAAAAUGGUAUGAAAAAUUGACUAGUUUCUUAAUCAGUCAAGGUUACAAACAGUCUGCUUCUGAUCAUUCCCUCUUCACUCUUCAUUCAGAUCCCAUGUUCACUGCUCUUCUUGUGUAUGUGGAUGAUGUCAUUUUAGCAGGGAAUUCAAUGGAUGAGAUCAAUAAAAUCAAGGUUACCCUUGAUGCAGAAUUUAAAAUCAAGGAUCUUGGUCAACUUAAAUAUUUCCUUGGCAUAGAGGUGGCACAUUCUAAACUUGGAAUUAGUAUAUGCCAAAGAAAAUAUUGUCUUGAUCUUCUUCAUGAUACAGGCUUACUUGGUUCAAAGCCAGUUUCAACACCACUUGAUCCAUCUAUAAAGCUACACCAAGAUACUUCAAAAGCUUUUGAUGAUAUUUUUAGCUAUAGAAGACUUGUGGGAAAACUCUUGUAUCUCACCACAACCAGACCAGACAUAGCUUUUGUAACUCAACAACUAAGUCAAUUUCUAUCAACUCCAACCAUUACUCAUUAUGAAGCAGCUUGCAGAGUUGUCAAGUAUCUUAAAGGCACUCAUGGUCAAGGUUUAUUAUUCAGAAGAGAUUCAAUUUUACAGAUACUUGGAUUUACAGAUGCAGAUUGGGCUGGAUGUCCUGAUACUAGAAGAUCCACUUCUGGUUAUUGUUUCUUCCUUGGAUCUUCCCUCAUUUCAUGGAGAGCUAAGAAGCAGCAUACAGUUUCCAGAAGUUCAUCUGAAGCUGAAUACAGAGCACUUUCUUUUGCUAGUUGUGAAUUACAAUGGCUUCAUUAUUUGUUGAAAGAUUUGGGAGUGUCAUGCAUCAAGUCACCUGUAUUGUACUGUGAUAAUCAGAGUGCAAUACAUAUUGCUGGGAAUCCUGUGUUUCAUGAGAGAACAAAACACUUGGAGAUAGAUUGCCAUUUUGUUAGAGAAAGAUUACAGCAGGGUCUUUUCAAGUUGCUUCCUAUCAAGUCUCAAUCACAACUUGCAGAUUUCUUUACUAAGCCUUUGCCACCUAAGAACUUUCAUUCUUUCAUUUCCAAGCUCAACAUGUUGGACUUAUACCAUGCUAAGCUUGGAGGGAGGGUGUUAAAAUUGUAUCUUUGUUUGUUAUAAUUAGAUAGCUUGGAGAACAAGUUACUUUGCAACUCCAUAGAAUCUUACUAUACACUAGCUGCAUCUGAUCUUAAUUCACUAGAAAGUUUGUUAGGAUCUUAAACAGCUAUAUAUAGCUUGGCUGUAACCGUUUUCUUCUCAAUUCUAUGAAUCUAGCUUUUAUCUCAAUUUUCUCUCUUUCUUCUUUGGUAAGCUUCUGCAUUUCUUCACUUCACCAUGGAAAAUAGGGUGAAGUUUAACAGGUUACACAACGAACAUCCCUCAAAAGGGAGUUAGAGAUAAAAGCAGGAAUUAAAUUAAAAAUUCCACAAGUAACAUAUGAAGAAAACCCCGACUUGGCUACACUAUCCGCCACAAGAUUGACCUCUAUCUCAAAACAUAAGUGAUUUUGACAUAAUCAUAACCGAUACCGAAAGCAAUGCUAUAGAUAAUGAGUAUUGCUAGCAAAACUCAAAAACUCACUUCAUUAUUGGUUCAAAUUAAGGUGGGGCUCACACAUUCGAAAUGGGUUUCACUUAAAGUGUGGGAUAUACACUAGUUUCAUCCAAUAAAAGAAUGAAUGUUAAAGAGAGUAUCCCAAGCAUUACUCAUAAAACAAUUAACUCCGAACCAUACCCAUCCCUAGUAAGCAUAAUUUCAAACCAAGGUUUCAACCGACGGUAAUUAAUUUCUUUUUUUUUUUUAACAAAGAGAAGAAAAUAACGUAAUUAAUUGUUGUUUGUUGGGUCUUUUUUUUUCUUCUUUCUUCCAGGUGCUAUAAUAGUAUAGAGCAAUUAAUUGUCUUAUCUUUGUUAGCUUCAAAACUCCACAAGUAAUAAGGGUAAAUAAGUAAUUACAUAGUAACCCUAUGUUAUCUUUCAAUUUCAAACAAUCUCUUCCACUUCAGUCUUCUUCUUCUUCUCUCACGAUCACAACCACCACAGUCACAAAGCAUUCAGCUUUGUUUUCUGUCAUCAUCACCGAUUCUUCCUCUCAAUAAACAACUAGGGUUCCAUCUUUUCCUCCUCUACUUAAUCCGCUGUGAGCAUUCUGGCUUUUCCUACUCUUUCAUAUUCGCGCACAUAACAUGUUUGUGAAAUGUCCUCUGUGGAUUCUCUGUUUAGAAUAACCCUGCAAGCUCAAAUUUUAACUAUCCUUAUGUUUUUAUGUAAUUAGAUGUUGGAAUAAUAUAUCAUAGUACUACCCUUUGAUGCUCAGUUUUAGAAUCUCUUGCUGAUAACUCUUUUUUCAACCAAUUGAUUGAAAUUCAAAAAACAUUGAAUAAAAGGAACUGCAAGCAAACAUGAAAGCAAAGUCCAACAACAAGUAUUCGAAAUGUGGUGCUAUAAAAUAUCUUUUGUUUGCAAUAAACGACGACUGCAAACUCGGCAUAUACAUUGGACACAAUAAUGAGUUGGUAAGGUAUUUGGAGGAUGGUCGUGAAGAUGAUGUACCUACAUUUACACAAACAAAUAUCAUACUGUUUACCGCGUAGAUUGAGAUAUAUUGGUUAUUAUUGUAUCCAACGUAUCUGUCUCGUCAACGUUUAGUACUGGAGGUCGAGUCCUUUACUCGUUUGGUAGUUAAUUAAAUCUCUACUGUUGAAGCUUUGAUUGCACCCCAAAUUGGAUCAAAUCUCUCAAGGUCAUUGAUUUAGAACUGGUUGAAGUGGGAAAGAUCGAGUAAAGUGUGGAUUCUUUGUUUUAAUUUUCAAAUCUUUUUGAUUAUAUUAUUAAAAUCAAAUUGUUUGUGUUUAAAUUUUAAGGUAUUUGUGAGUGUUGUAUUUAUUUCUUUGUGUUGCUGUCGUCGUCGUUGUGCUUAUUUAAAUUUUUAAUCUUAUUAUGUUUGGUAGUGUUAGGAUUGGAUUCGCUACUGCCUUUUGCAUUUGCAUUUUGUUGGUGUGCUGCUACUAGAUUUGUUGCUACAUGCUGUACCUACUGCUUUUGUUGCUACUUAAGUCUUAAUUUGUAUUUUGAUGUUGUUGCUACUGUUUUUGCAUUCAAUUUACAAUUAAAUCAUGUAAAAUUUUGGAUUUGCAUUCUGUUUGUUCGAGAUUUGCAUUAUAUUUGCUGAUUGCUUGCUAUCAUUUACAACUUCUAGAUUUUUGUGGAAAUUAUGUGUUUUAUGAAGAUUGGUACUAUUAUUAAGUUGGCUGAGCCUUCAAACGAGAAUCAUGAACGAGAGCUUCUUCGUCUUCUUCUAGCAUCAUAGCAAUGGAAAUCGGAAUUGAUUAUUGGAUAACGGUGAAACGGUUCGAAGAACGGUUAUGGAAAAUUGAACGGUAAUAGAGUAAUAGAGAGAACAUGGUUAUGCAGCACUCAAGUGAGGGGGUCUCAAAGUUACCUAUGGUUAUGGAGAAUUGUACGGAUCGAACUUUUCCAUUUUUUUUUCAUUUAUUUAAUUACUAUGAUGUAUAUGUGGCUUUUUCAUGGGUGCCUCAAAGUUGCAUAAGGGAGUAAAGUUAGAGGGUUGGAAAGUGGGUUUUUUUAAUAGGGGAUCAAAAUCGCAACUAUUGCAAGUUAUUUUAUUUUAGGAACAAAUAUUUGAAAGAUGGAGUCUUGGAGCAAAAGAAAGGAGAAUUUGAGCUAAUUCGUGCCAAAAAUAUGAAGAUCUGAUACAAAAAUAUCUUGUGCAAAUAAUUUGAAGAUCUUGUGCAAAAAUAUAACAAGUGGCGGGCCCCUUUUACCCUUUUGCUGCUUUUGCUUCUUCGACAAAGCUGCCUAUUUUAGUAUUUCAGACCUAGAGCCUAUGGUUUCUUGUGCAACACUUUAGUGAUUUAAUUCUUAGGGCUCAAGUCAAUGUUAGACUAUAAAUAGAUCAGUCCCCUAGUUUGUAAAACCAUCUUUUGUUCUUGAAAUAAUAAGUGACAAUUGUUUUCAAUAAAAAGAUCAACCUUUAUUUUAUGUUCUUCUUCUUCUUCUUCUCUUCUAUGUCUACAAUGAACGUGAGUGAGUAGACUCUUCUUGUCUUGGGAUUGUUGGAUAAGUCUAAUGACGUAAUCCUAAUCAAACCAAACCAUAAACCCUAAUUUUAUAUAAAUCCACUUUCUAAUCUAAUUUCACCGUUUUGAUAAUGAAUUAACAAAUACCAAACUCAUAAAGCGAACGCGGAGGGAUAGUAUUUGUUAAUUCAUCAUCACAAAUAUCAAUUCAUAAAAGCGAACACGGAGCUUUGAUAUUGGAACAAGUGAAAUUAGACAAGGAUUGCGAAAUAUGAGAAUAGUCUAGCAAACCUUGAGAAACAUAAAGUUUUGUUCUUCAAGGAUUCUAAUAACAAUCAACCAUGAGAAUAGGCGUGGUUGCUAGAGGAACACACUCAAUGAUUUUGAGAGAAACUUUGAUACGCUUAAGAGAAACUUGUCUUUAGAAAGUAGGUCCAAUAUAAAGUUUAGGUUUAGGGUUUGUUUGUGAAGGAAUUGUCACUAUGACGAACCAAUAAUCCCAAGGCGCUAUUAUUUUAUUAUUAUUAUUUUCUUUUAAUUAAACAAAAAUACAACUUUCUACCUUCUAAACUUUCAAUCUAAUCAUUGUUAAAAGUUAAUUGAAUUCAUAACUCCCUGUCGGAACGAUACUCUUUUUAUUACUUCGAUAGAACCGUGCACUUGCGGUUUUACUCAUCACCCCUGAAGUUGAGGAACACUUGGUAUGUGAGUCCAUAGGAAAAGGAUGAGGUAGAGGAAGGUGAUUGAAUAACCAUAUAUAACAACUACGCAGAAAUGGAAAUAAGAAUAUAGUUCAAGAAUGAAGAAUAUAUUAAUUUGUAAAGAUUUGGCACACUUGUCUAAUCCGCACAUCUGAACCAAUAAAAGGUUUAGAAGGUUGUUCAGAAGUUUCAUCAGAACAAACCCAUAAAUCAUUGUGCAUAUCAAGAACAUGCAAGAACAUACAUGAUAUGAACAUAUCAUAUGCAAAAAAGGAUUUCAACUCUAUGGUAAUUAAAUGAUUAAUGGACUUUGAUGUUCUUGGUAUUUAACAUAUGUUCUUAAGUGAUUAACCAAAACAGGAACAAAGUAUAAAUCAAACCAAGAUUCAAGUGAUCAAAGAACAUUAAAGCUUAUGAACCCAAUAAUAGUUCAGAAGGUUAGUUAGAGUUUAGAAGGUUCGAAGAUAUUUCAGAAGGUUGUUCUAAAGGUUUAUCAAGAAUAAGCCCAUAAAUAAAUUAACAUUAUCAAGAACAUACAAGGCUCACAUGGCAUAAAAGAAAGUGCAUAAAAGUACUAUGACUUUAGAUCAAUCAAGGAUUAAAUGCAUUAAUUUGGAUAAAAUUUAAAAGGAAUAUUAUUCUAAGAAAAAUUAGGAAUAUUCUUCUAAGAAAAUCAUCAUAGAUGUUAUGCAUAGUGCACCUCAUUGAUGCCCUUCAUUCAAGUUCACUAUUAAUAUUUGAUAGCAUCAGAUGAAGAUCAUUAAGAUGAUCACAAAUAUUCUGAAGUUCAAAAGGUCGUUCAGCUACAUGUUUUAUCUGACAGAAAGGUACAAUAGGUGAAAAAGCAAAAAGCAAAAGCAAAAUGCAAGAUCAAUUCAGAUUCAAUUAUAAUUAGACACAUAAGGGAGCAUAUACGUUCAGUAAAAAUGAUUACACAAAUCAACUCUAAAUAUUCCUAAAAUCUUAAAGAGUGUGUAACAUUUCUCUCUUAUCUUUUCAAUGAUAAUCUUCUUCUUCUUUCAAACCUCCAAACCAUUGUAAGAGAAAAUCUCAUCUAGUUUUAAGGGUAUUAAAAUGUUAGUUGAGUAAAAGAAAAGAGUAGAGUCUUGUCUGACUUAGAAAGAAAAGUUGUAAGCCUAUUGAGGCUAGAUAAUACAGUUUUUGCAUGCUAAGGCUAGAUAAUACACUUUGUAAGCCUGCUGAGGCUAAGAUAAUACAGAAGGUAAAGUCCCUAGUGGUAGAAAGUGUAAGGUGCAUGAGUUGAGAAGGUUGUCUCAAGGAUCAUAGUGAACAUCUCACAGUUGUGAGGAGUGGAAUAACCCACAUUAGAUGAACCACUAUAAUUCUCGUGUGUUAUAUUCUUUACCAUUACUCUUUAUUUUUAACAUUAAUAUUUACAUUCACUUUACACACCAUUAUCCCUUUAUUUAUUGUUUAUUACACUCACACUUCUGCAUGUACUUCAGAACAUUCUGAACUUGACCUAGUUUUUAUUUAUUUCAAGUAUCUACUUGAGAAUCACUUACCACAAGUGCAAGUUAAAUUUAAAAAGGGUCAUAAUUAAACCCCCCUUAUUUUGAAUAUUAUUUCCACUUCAAAGAAAACAGAUUACAUAAUGCUAUUGUUGUUCUUGAGAAGAGAAUAAAACAAAUCAGAGAGAAAAGGACGAAGAGAAGAGGAAGGUGGCGUUGUUGUUGUGCCUGUGUUUUUUUUUUUAAUGAAUUUGUAGGUUUUUUUUUAAUAAAUUUUUUGGAUUUGUGAUAAACACCAUGAACUUAUAAGUUAAAGAAGAUGAAGAUGAUGCUGAACAUAUAUCCUAGACAAAAAAAAAAAUAAAAAAAAUAAAAAAAGAAAUUAUACAAUCACAAUGCCACAUAAUAAAAAAUGCUGACUCAGCGCGCCGCAUCACUUUAGUUACCUAGUUAGAUGAGGCCAUGGUCGAUUUAUGAAGAAUCUUGAUUUUACAAUGAUGAAAUCUACUUUUUUACUACAUGAGGUAAACUGGAAAUGACUUAUAUUACAGGGGAUAAAACACUCUUAACCCUAGAAUAUAACAUGGAAGAGUUAAAUUCUUCAAUUUAUAAAAAAUAAAAUGACAUUAGAAGUUUAAAAAGUCAAAAUUUAGAGUUGGUUAUAUUAAAGCAACAAAGAAACUCAAAUGCACAAAUAAUAUUAUAGUGUCAUAUUAAUGUACAAGAGAAAUCCAUAAAUUUCACUCACAAUACAUUAAUGAGCAAAGACGGAGUACCAUGAGUAUUGUAUGCAUACCCAGUACGUGUACUUUAACGUUUUACAAUUACUUAUACUUCAAAGUAUAUUCUGUUUAACUAAUAAAUUGUACACUUACUUGAUUUUCCUCGUAAACAUUACCAUUUAAAACAUGAGGGAAAUUGGAAAUGANNNNNNNNNNNNNNNNNNNNNNNNNNNNNNNNNNNNNNNNNNNNNNNNNNNNNNNNNNNNNNNNNNNNNNNNNNNNNNNNNNNNNNNNNNNNNNNNNNNNUCCCCUCCCCUCCCCUCUCAUCCGCUUCUAAAAAUUGAACCAAACACUUCAAAUUAAAAAUCUUCCCUCCCCUCCAAAACUCUCGAACCAAAUGAACCCUAAAGUGAUCGACUUAUAAUUUGAAACAGAGGAGUAAUACUUAUGGAUCGGAGUAAAGAGUGCAGUGAGUGAAUUGAUGUAAAAUUUAGUUUUUUUCAUGCUAUAAUAUCUAUAAUGACUAUCGGGGUGCUAUUGUUAUUGACAAACUAGUUUACAAUGAAAACAAAUAUUACAAUGGAAACAAAUAUUACAAUGUUUGUGUAAUACACAAAAUUAUCAACCUAUUCGUCCUUCCUCAUGAUGCCCCUAAAGUCAACCUUCAUCCAGUAGAACUACAAUUUGAAGCUUACUGUUUGAUUUUUGAGUUACUGAUUCACAUUUAAUUUCCAUGAUAUUAUUGACGAUUGGUCAAACAUAAAAUAAAACUACAUUUUAAUUGACUUGUUUUAUUUAUUUAUUUAAGUUUUCUCGUUGUUUUAUUGUUUGAAUGGUAACCACAUUUAAGAUAUCAGCAAGAAGAGGUGGUAGUGCAACGAUAUCUACUCUGUGAUUGGUCCACACGCUAUAGGAUGUUGCAAGGAAGUUUCACUUACUACUUUUGUCAUUAGUUUUCUCCUUGUUUUAAAGAAUCCACCUAACAGACCACACAAAUUACUCAUUCAUAUUCUCCAUUUUCAAAGUCUUUUUUCAUCCAUAUUCUUUCAAUUCUCAUGGCUAUGCAAUCACCUUCCCGAGUGUUCCUCAGUUUCAGGGGCAGUGACACUCGCAACAAAUUUACCGGUAAUCUCUAUAAGGCUCUUGUUGACAAGGGAAUUCGUACUUUCAUUGAUGAUAAUGAUCUUGAAAGAGGAGAUGAAAUCACACCAUCACUUGUCAAGGCCAUUGAAGAAUCUAGGAUUUUUAUUCCCAUAUUUUCUGCCAACUAUGCAUCUUCUUCAUUUUGUUUGGACGAACUUGUCCACAUCAUUCA